UGAAGGGGCCAGAGUACUGGCUGCCCUGAAAUCAGAGCAGCAGCUAAAAAUGGUGCCUAGAGGCGAGAGGUAGUUGUAAUGACUACUGAUGCGAACUCCUCAGAGAAGGAGGAAUAGCUGCCAGGUCAGAUCCCUGACUGCUUUGCCCUCUUUUAGCCUGGGAGAUUUUAGGAGCAAAAUCACUGAGGAAAUGCGUUCAGUGCUUGGACAUCAUGGUGAGGCUCCUUGCCAAGGUCUAGAGUCGGAAGGCUAUCUGUAGCUUUCCUUUGCCAAAGGUCAGUUUCCCAGCAGGCCCUCAAACACUUCUGUGUGAGAGGGAAAAGGGACGAAGAGGGGAUAAACCACAGGGCAAAGAAUUAGGAAGUGUUAGCAAAUGCUACCAUGUGGAACACUCAACUUUAUUUGCUUUAUUUAUAUAUUUAACAAUUCUAAAGUAUUUACUUCUUGCUUUGACAAAAAAUGAAAAAUAUAGGAGCACUGACUGACUCCUCUUUAGGAGAAAAGGGUUAUAUGUACAGCUAUGGAGAGUUACGGUUCCUCCUUUAACAAAGGAAAAUAUUAAUAAAAAAGUGCUUCAUCGAUCAAAAAAGAGCUAAGAGCUGCAAGCAUUUAUUCACACUGUACAUCAGACCCAAGAAACCCGUAUCAUAACCUCUUGGCACCUGUCACUAGGAAAUGCACAAUCUUCAAUUAGACCAACUUUUCCCCUACCUGCACGACUAGAUGACACAGAAUGUGGAAAAGAACUACACCCUGUUUCACCACAUUCAAACUGUGUUGCCACUGGAAGUCAGAGACGUGCUCAGAUGCUCUGGGCUUUGCCUGGACUGAGAGCACCAGGGAAGCCUUCUGGGCCACGCCUUAACCACACCCAGGCAUGCACAGAACCACCUUCCUGAGACACACCUUGCCCUUGGUCAGGGAACUGCUACCAAGGGAAAGAAGAAUACAGGGCAGGGCCAGAGCUUAAGCAUUCCCUGACCUUACCCCUAGUCCUCACCAUGAUCCACCCUGUCACCAGUUAGCAGCUUUCAGCAGAGUCAAGCAUGGCCUCCCCAAGAGGGAGGGCAGGCACAAAACAUGGAUGCCAAGAUUACAAAGCACAAACCUAACUCUUCUCCAACCUUCCCCACACCUACCUCCACAAAUAUUCUUGAUUUAAGGCUGUUUUUGGACCAUAUCAAAGCUCACUGAGGAAAGGUGCCCUGAAUCUCCUCAAGGCCAUGUCACUUCUCUAAGGAACCCUACGAAGUCACCAAGUGGCCCUUCACUGCUGGCCAGCAGCCAGACAAGUGCCCACUCAGACAGCCAGGAGCGGCAAAGGGGGACUGCUCAGCAGUUAUUCCUGUCCCAAGAAGAGAAGAAGGAGAAAGGCUGAUUGUAUGGGACCUGCUCCCUUUUCCAGGGGCUUGUAACUCUAAAGGCUGAUUCUACCCCUUAAAGGGAAGAUCCAUGAUUGGUUUGGUUUGGGAACGGGGGAUUUCUGGAACCCUGAGUCUGGAUUUCCCUGUGCUGGCUGAGGAAGAGAUUGUUUAGGGGACCAGGCCCCAGAAUGGGGACCCAGGUGUGUCUGGGCUCAGGGCAGGCUUUGGCCUUGAGUGCAUAACCAUUUUGACCAGUCUGUACUCAUGCCUGAGGGUGGGAAGUGCUACACAGCCUGGCCCAGGAAAGCAGCCCCCUGAAAGUAAAGGGAGCCCAAGACAAUCUGGGUCAAGUUAAAAAUGGGAUCCCACGGGGGACAACAUGACGGCUACCCACUCCCAGCCCCUCGCCUGCCUCAAAGGAGCAUCCACUUUCCUUUCCCAAAGAGGCGCCUAAGGGGAUGCCAUUUACCGUGUGCCUCUCCCUCCAAACAUCAGCCUCAUUUAUCCAUCUGUGAGGGGACUGGCUCAGCUCCUCGCAGGAGGGAGAUGAUGCCCAGGGCAGUGCUCUUGGGGAAUAUGCUUCCAGCCUCCCCAGCAGCAAAGGGUUCCCAACCAGCUCUGAUGUGGCGGUGGCGUGAGGAAUGGUUGCAUGUUAGCACUGGCUUUCUUCCCUGCUCACGGUCUCAGAUCUCCAUACUCCUGGCUCUGACCACCAUCCUCCCACCCGGAAGAAACAAGCCAUCCCUCAGUGUCACCUGACAGCAGGCAGCUCGGCAGUUACAGUGGGCCUGGCAACCCUUGGUCUUCCAUCAAAAAAAAAAAAUUAAGACAACCAAGGGGAAGUUUCCUUUUUUGAAGGCAGAGGAGGAGGAUGGAAAAGGUAGGGAGGGAGUACGGGGACAGGAAAGAAAAAUCAAUCUACAAUCCAGUGGUGCAUCCCAAAUCUCUGUCACUCUGUACAGGUGGUUCCACGCUCCCAUUCCAAAGUGCACGGGCCUCUCGGUCUGCCCAGGCUGAGUGGGCCUGUCAUAGGAACAGCAGCUUGGCCACUGCCCACCCAGGUCACUGAGCUUCAGUUGGAAGUGGCAGCAAUGGGCUUAUCCAGUUCAAGGUCAAUGCUGGAGCUUGUGGGAUGUAGGCUGCUAUAGCAAGACUUGCAUACUCGACUGGGUUCAAAGAGCUGCUGGCUGGGAACUGGAACCUUCUGGUUACAACAACUGGAGCAGAAUACGUUCCCACAAUUCCUUGAGAUGAGAAGAAACAGAACAAUGUUAGUUUUGGCCAGCAGGUAUGCGGAGGGAAACCAACUUCAAAAGACAAACUUUGCUGUGUGUAAUUUGCAUGUGCUGGAGCUCCUUGAGAUCAAACCCUUUCAUCUCUCUAGCCCAGGAACAAGCUGGGUAGGGAGGGUGUCCCUACCUAGCAGAGUCACAUGUCAUUUUGGGGCCAAGGAUUCUUGGCUGCCUCACCACUGACUCAAAAGAAUGCUGCUCAGGUAUACAAAAGAAUGCUGCUCAAGAGAGAUCUGUAAGAAUACAUGGUCCUAACAAUGGGUUAGUCCUGAUCCAGGAAAACCCAGUGGCCACACCCACCUAGGCAAUGCCCUCUGUGUAGCUUGUGAUCACAGAGGCCAGGCUCCUCAAACGAGAGAAACAACUACCCAGCCUCACUGGGGAGUAAGGAGCCUUGCCCAACGGCCACUUCUCCAGAGGAUCAAAGGCAGCAACAUGGCAGAUAGACUGCUGCCAUUUUGGACUGCUCUGCUGGCAGCAUGCAAAGCCAGGGACAAGCAGCCUGUGAUGCAUGCUCAGAGGGUGAAAGAGGAGAGGUGGGAGGACAAGAACACAGAUGAACACACGUGCACACACACCCCCUUAUUAGAUAGGUGUCAGUCAAUUAUGGCUCACUCCCCGACCCAUGCAUCUCCAGGGAAAACCAGAGUUCUACCAGAAGGCCAGAAUGCACUCAGGCCCCAGGCAUCCCUCUCCUCCUCCCCUGAAAGCUGGGUUCUGAGGCAUCUGUGCAGCACAGUUCUGCACCCCCAGAUGGAUGCCCAUCAGAGCCAACAGGAAAGGGAAUUGGCAAAGAAUGAGUUUCUGCCCACCUUACAACUCUACUUUUGCUGGGCCCUGAGGUACAAAUCAAUCCUAAUGAGCCUAAGAACAAGAAGCUCCAAGGAGCCUGACACAGCCCACCAAAGACUGGGGGAGGGCAGCUUCUUAGCCUUCUAACUUUUCAUUUAUGCUGUUCGGAAUGCAAACCCACUGCUGGAUUAAGGAUCACUUAGGCACAGGAGGAGAGAAGACUAAGACCAGUUGGGAACAAAAGAAUACCACAGAAGGAAAAGGUGGGACAUGGGGCAAUGGAAAGACAGAAAAGAAAAACACAAAAUUCAUCUUCUAGAAUGCUGUACUUCGUAACUAGUUCUAAAAAGCAUGAGUCAGCAAAACCCUGUAGUUACACAGAAAAAUUUCUGAACAUCUACACUUCUUUAACAUUCCUGCUGGAGUUCAGCUCAAAAGCCUGACAUGAAUUUGAUGCUUUUCUUUCUUUUCUUUACUUUUUCGAGAUGGGAGUUUUGCUCUUAUUGCCCAGGCUGGAGUGCAAUGGUGCGAUCUUGGCUCACUGCAACCUCCGCCUCCCAGGUUCAAGAGAUUCUCCUGCCUCAGCCUCCCAAGGAGCUGGGAUUACAGGCGUGCACCACCAUGCCCAGCUAAUUUUGUAUUUUUAGUAAAGAUGGAGUUACACAAUGUUGGUCGGGGGCUGGUCUUGAACUCCUGACCUCAGGUGAUCUGCCAUCCUCGGCCUCCCAAAGUGCUAGGAUUAUAGGCGUGAGCCACCGCACCUGGCUGAUGCUUUUCUAUCUGACUUCUUUCAGAGGACCCUGAAAGACACUAAGUGGAAUCUUUCCUUGAAGUCUUCCAAGCUAAAACAAUUCUCUGGAAAGAUCACCUCUGUUCAGUCCUGGUCUCUUAAAAAAAAAAAGGCGGGGGGGGAAGAAGCAGUGAUGCUGUUUGACCUGGAAAUUACUAGCAUUAUUCUGGCAUCUCAAUGAAUCACUGACCCAAAAUAAAUAGCUCUGAAAACCCAACUGGUUCCCCUACAAGACCAGAAGACAAGAAGCACUACUCGUCACAAGCAAGACGGCCUGGCUGACCUCUGUGAUCAGGAGGGGAGCACAUGGCUGCAGCCUGACCCACCCUCGAUGGCCUCUCCUCAGCUGCUUUGAAUCCCCUCAAGCCCACCUAUCUGCCUGUGCACCCAAGGCCCCAGGCUUCACCCUAGUGAGUGCAGAGAGGGGGAAAUGAUAAGAGUUAGUGUGGAGAAGUUAUUGUAGAUGUGCAGACAUCACAGGCAGGUUGUUGCAAAUGCUCACCACGUUUGAUCAACACGGUCAGUGUCCCUGCAAGGAGGGGAGAAAGAGCUCAGAAGAGAAGCCAACCAAAGAUAUCUGGGCUUGGGGUGCAGGGUGGGGAGAUACAUGUCCUAGAAGCAUCAUUACUAGGCAAAGAGACUGUUCCAUUUUCAAUCCACCCACUCGUGUGGGUGAGCUAUGGCAUGAUUCAGAUAAACUUCCUCUUCUAAGAACACUGAACAUCCACCAGACAGUCAACACCCUAGCUGGGGCAAAGGGUCCCUAGUAAACUCACUACCCCAACCCAGAAGGAAAAAGAAGUCAGGAACCUUAAUGAUUGGAAGACUGUCCUCAGCUGUCUCUACUACUUCCCAAGCUACGGCUGCUCACCAAUGGCACAAGGGAAAACAAGUGUGGGGUCAGGGAGCAGGAAAGGAAUAGGAAAAUAGUUCCCUCCCCAUUGCAGGAAAACUGGUUUUGCUCAUAGUAGCCAUGUUGAAUGGGAAGAAAUGUUAUGCUGAGAAUAAGAAAUGGUGGUUUCAGUGGUGGCUGUUGUUUCACCAAUCUGGGAAACAACAAAAUGCUACCAUUUGCACAUUUCAGAAUUUAAUAGUGAUUACUCUGAAUUUGAACAAAGAUGCCAAAUGCAGUUUUGCAAACACCAAUUUCAGAGGCACAGGAAGAUGAGACCAUGGCUCUGCCUCAGACAGAACACUGAGAUACCCACAACCCUCUACUCUGCAGGCUCUGUGGGCCGACCCUCAGCCUCCACACGCAGCCCACACCCUACCACAGACCCUCAAUGGUACCUGCAGUGGUGCUUCCUGCUGGCAAGCCAGAAGGCACUGUCGCACGCAUAGCAGUGGGCGGCCAGGUGGUCAGGAAGCCAACGGGUCAUCUGCAAAACAGAUGGGACCAGGUUACUGACAGGAGAUGGGCCAUCCAGCUGGAGCCAGCAAAGCCAUGCUGGAGGCAGCAAGAGUCACAAGGACCACAUCAGCUCCAGUGGCACCAGCCCAGCAGAUCUGAUGUCAACAGUACAAGAAAGGCGUCCAAAUCGUUUCCCUGGAGGGGACUCCAAUCUCCCCUGAGAUAAAGUAGCAGGCAGCAGCACCCUGGGUCACUGUGAGAGCUGGCAAGGCUCCAGUUCAUAGAGGCAAUGGAGAGGGAGGGCCAGCUUGCUGAGUCUCCCUGGCUCAGAAAUCCUAGGCUUCAUGUGGGUUCCCAGGAGCUAAGGUGCCAGAGGCUCAGGGCUAGCUGUGCUGGGAGGUGCUUCCUUGGCCAGGGGUAUGGGGUGGGAGUGGGGGUGGAGAAGAACUACAAAACAGUUAAAUGGAUGGCACUCAGAGCAGGGGCUGAGCCUGUACCUCUGUGUCCUGUUUAUCCACCUGCUCCCAGCUGGCUUCAGAGAAAAUCUCUGUGCUGCAGCGAGACAAACAGUUCUGAUCCAGAUUGCUUUCCGAGUCGGGGAUUGAAGUCUGUUGGCAAACAAACACAGCUGAACAGAAUGAACCUGGUCUCCUCCCAAAAGAAGAAAAGGCCUGGUGAAGAAGGGAGCACUGAGGACUCUGGGUGGGGCCGAGUGCUAGGACUGCCGAAUCUGCAGAUGCAUCAGCCAUCAAGAACUGGGGUGAAGAAGUGCAGUGUGGGCCUGGGCUCAGCUGGGAGAGGGAUACACAGGUUGUGUGCAAUGACUCUGGAGUAGAAAAACAGGCCCUCAGGGUUCCAGAAAGUGAGUGAGAGGGAAGUGACCAAAAUGGAAUGAGAAUUCUGUAUGUCAGCUGCUCCAGUGGGCCUGUCAAUCCAACCCUGCCUGCCACUUAGUUAAAGCUGAGUGCUUUCGGGAUACCCUCCUUUUCUUAGAAGGACUCUCUGGGAACAUAAGAAACUAUCAUUAGCAUGAAGGAAAAGCCAAGUCACUCUGAACUGAAAGUCACUGGAUGUGCCCGCCUUUAAUGUACGCUGACCACUUGAAAGCCAGGCUCACACUUGUACUUGAGCUGCCUGAGUCAAGUCCACCCAGAGAGGAAAGCACCUCCUUGAGAACCUCCCCCUCUGGAACCCCCAUUUCCAGCCACAAACCCCCAUCAGAGCUAACUCCUCAACAGUGCUAGAAACCAGUCCCUUCUCUCCAUUUCUACUGGCAGCAUCUGCCACAGGAUGGGUAUAAAUAUUUGUUUAAAAAGAACUGAACCUUCAAAGCCAUAGCCCACGUCUGGAAGGACUAAUACUUUGUAGUUACUAAGGCAGAACAGGCACUAAAAUCUGACAGGAAUAACUUGGCAUUGCCCUACAGAUGUCAUUCUGCCCAUGGGUUCAAGCCCUUCUGAAGACUUAUGAUCCUGUGUCUGAGAGAUCUGAUCAACCAUGCACUGCAUGCUAAGUCUCUUCCUCUCCAACGGCCUCAACAGGAUAUCUGCAGAAAGUAAGCGAAGCAGAAAACAGGCAGGCUGCCAUCGCUGUCGUGGAGGCUCAUCUCCAGCCUCUCUUAACAGGGCUACUCUGGACCUUUCCAGUCCUUUAACAACCUGUACCAAUCACCAUGCACUGGGCACAAAGGGCACCCAGCCUCAGCAUGCUGUCUCCUUGGGCAGCUAUGGAGGAAUACCACAGCCUACUCACCACCUCAUCCCCAAAGUCUCCAUUAAAGUGUAGGGAGCUGGUCAGGUACUGGCUCUCCAGGCGACUCUUCAGCUCCUGGACUUGUUUCUUCAAAGUUUCUACUUCCUGCUGGUGGCCUGACUCAAUCUGACGCAGGCGCUGUUGGAUCGUGUCUGUGUACACUGACAUGCCAUCAUCGUCCAGGUGGCUGCGGGAAGGCUGGUCGGGGCUGCUGGUUGCAGAUGGCCUUCCUGAGUGGCUAUGCAGCCACUUGUGGUGCAAGUUCCUUGAGUGUAAGUGGGCAGAGCUGCAGCUCAUAGCAGACAGCUGACGGCUCAGUGAGUCCUUGCUCCUACCAGCCUCCCCAUUGGCACAAUGCCCAUUGGGUGUGGGGUACAUCUGGAGGGUGCUAAGACCUGGGGGCUGCUCUGAGGCCCUGUUUUCAGUCUCUGGGGCACCAUUGCACACAAGCCCCUCUUUACAUUCGGCUAAAGGCAAGGCACAAGGGGAACGUGUCAGGCUGAGAGUGCUGCCAGGGGAAGUCCUAUGCACCACAGACCCCACUUGGGGCCUCUCGACCAGGCUUGUCUCUGAAGGGCUGGGUUCCAUGGUCUGAGGAAGCCUGUCCUUGCCACUAUUUACAAGGCAAGAUCUAUGAUGACCUUGGGGCCCACUUACUGACUUCACCUUAUCUUCCACUAACAUGUCUGUAGAACUGUCCAUGUUUGGUCCUCUGGUCUCAAAAGGGACUUGGGAAGGUAGCAGAGAACAUGACUGUGAGGUACCAUAGCCAACUUUUGCAUCUACUGGGAUUGGAAGAACUGCUUCCUCCCUAUCCUCUGCAAUCUCUUCUAUUCGAAACUGCUCCACAGGGACCUCCAGGGAAUCCUCUCCCCUGGGGGGGACCUGGAGAGAACUGAGGAGAACACUGAGCCCACUCUGCUGUUCAGAAAUACCCUGUGAGAACAGAGGCCAGCUCAUAUCCAGAUGGCUCCUCAGAGCAGCAUCACCCAGUUCUGGGUCUUGGUGAAGUCCAAUGGCUGAGGCCUCAGGUGUCUUCCUCCUGCUCUCCUUUUCUAAGAGAGGGUCCUCUUUACCCUCCUGUAUCUCAAUGCCUGCCCUGUGGGCAGGUUCCUCUACUCCACUCUCCUCUUUGGUGGCCUCCUGCAAGAUGUUCUCCAUCUGCCCCUCAGCUACUCCGGCUGCAACAGAAAGCUCGGCACCCCCCGGCACUCUGGUGGGCUUCCCUAGGCUGUCGGCAGAAAGGGGAUCCUCUCCAGGGCCAGCCAGGCUGCUCAGCUCUAGUGAGCGCCGGUGCUCCUGCCACUUCUCGUUCAGGCUGGGGUCGCUGCAGCGCCGGCUGGCCAGAGGCACUGUGUUGUCACAGGCUGUGGUCAGAUUGUCAUAUGAUCUAGUCUUUGGUAGCCUAAAGGAAAGGAAUUUGGGGGAAAUGAAAAUCUUGGAAACUGUUUGGAGGAAGUAGGAGACAAUAGGUUUUAACAAGCAGUUGUUUCAUAACUGGGUCCAUUACGGCUACUCAUGGAGCUGUAGCAUCUCUGGAGCGAGGCCCAGACUGCUGGAGCAGCAAAGCUCCGGAACAAGUCCUCCUAGUGUGCAGAUUUCCUUUCAAACUCCCCCAACCCCAUGCCCCAUACAUACAAAUGAGCUAACAGCAAAUGCUAUUUUCUUUUUUUUUUUUUUUUUUGAGACGGAGUCUCACUCUGUCGCCCAGGCUGGAGUGCAGUGGCGGAUCUCAGCUCACUGCAACCUCCGCCUCCCAGGUUCAAGCGAUCCUGCCUCAGCCUCCUGAGUAGCUGGGAUUAUAGGUGUGUGCCACCACGCCCGGCUAGUUUUUUUGUAUUUUUAAUAGAGAUGGGUGUUUCACCAUUUUGUUCAGGCUGGUCUUGAACUCCUGACCUCAGGUGAUCCGCCCACCUUGGCCUCCCAAAGUGCUGGGAUUACAGGCGUCAGCCACUGCGCCCGGCCUGCAAAUGCUAUUUCCAAAAGACGUUCUUCAUGAUGCUGCUGUGUUUCUCAGUGGAUGGCAAAGUAGCACUGGUGUUUCUUGAUAUUACAGUAUUUUAAAUUAAUGUAUUAUCUAUCAGUCUGAAUUUAAUAAAGCUAAUUCUCAAGUGACAAAGCCAAAUUUUCUUUUUUUUUUUUUUUUUCCUGAGACAGGUCUUGCCCUGUCAUCCAGGCUGGAGUGCAAUGGAUCUUGGAUCACUGCAACCUCCACCUUCCAGGCUCAAGUGAUCCUCCUGCCUCAACCUCCCAAGUAGCUGGGACUACAGGUAUGUGCCACCACGCUUGGUUGGUUUUUGCAUUUUGGGUAGAAACGGAGUUUCACCACAUUGCCCAGGCUGGUCUGGAACUCCUGGGCUCAAGCGAUCCUCCCACCUUGGCCUCCCAAAGUGCUGGGAUUACAGGCAUGAGCCACCAAGCCUGGCCCCAAAGCAAAAUUUUCUGUCAUCUGACAGCAUCUGCCUUUUAAGCCUCAGAAGACAAAUCAUGGCAAAUAGGCAGGAGCACAGAGCACUGGGGAAAACACAAACCAGGGGGUCACAGAAAAACUGGAGGAUUUGCUCUAUCACUGAGGAGCGGCUCAGUGUAUGCAAAACAACAUGAAGCAACAGGGCCUAACUCACUCCCAGAAACAAGGAUCUUACAGCCUCGUAGCUCAGAAAUCCCUAUAACUUCCCUGAAAAAACUGCAGAGACCUAAGAAAGAUACUGUGGAGCCAGAUACCAUCAUGAUCUCUGACCAUCCCUGCACACGUCCCGACACAGGAAUACACCCACACAGGCUGUCAGGCCUGUGGCAUCACCCUGGGCUCACCGGCUCAGGGGGGGAUCAUCAGGGCUGGUGCCUGGGGCUGGGUAUGGUGCACAGCUGUCGUCCACAGGGGUGGUUGGGGAUGGGCAGGGCAGGUACACUGCACUCCACAGCAUCAGGUUACGCACAUGGCACACAGGGUACAGCACCUGAGGAGGGGGGAGGACACAGGUUUAAAUAUGCCCCAAUAAGUCUUCUAGGAUGUCUGGAAAAUGAGGAUCAAGAGCAAGCACCCAGCUGGAAUACCCAACAGGGCUGACAGGAUCUCCACAAAGAAGCAGCACCAAUGGAUACAGGUCUAUCCCAAGAGGACCAAUACAGGACUAGACAUUUUAUAUAGCCAACAUUUUUCACCUAAGAGCCACUUGAGAGCAUGAAAAUAUAAAAUAUUUUUUAGAUCCCUUUCUCAUUAUAGUUAUUUCUUAGGUCACCUUCAAUGUCUGACUUUCAUCAGCUUGAUUUGUUGCUUUUACUGCCUAAGAAAGUGAGUCAUUCUGUUAGAUGGUGAUUGUCCAUCCUGCUGGCACAAAAGCUUGGCUUCAAGAAACACUGUCAAACCCAUUUUAUGGGAUCAUUUAAAUUAAUCAUGUGAAAAGAAGGAAAUUUUCCUGCUGUAUUGUUACUUCCCCAGAAGGCACACUGAAGGGGAGAGACAAGCAGUCAGCUUAAAUCUUUUCUGUGAUUACUUAAAUGUAAUGAGAACCAUAUUAAUAGUCCAGGAAAUCAAUAUGAACUCUGAUUAGCCUCCUUUUGACUUCUUUAGGGUCUAAGAUGCAUUCUGACAAAGCUAGUAUUACUAUGAAACUGACACAUAGGUCUAUGUGCCUCCUUUUCUCUGCUUAACAGAAGGUAUUCAUUCCUUCGGGGAACAAAGUCUUAAAGGGCCUGCCAGCUCUUCAUGUGAGCAGAGAAUCAGACAGACACACAUACCAAUGUCAAACACAGUUUACUGUUCUGAGACAGAAGCUUUGGUGGGUAUCAUUGCUUAUUGACACUGGGAGGGUGCUGGGGGCCUGGUGGCAGCUCCUUCUGAGCUAUCAGUGCAUCAGGAAGCAACUUAAGUGCCUCUCCCGUAAGACAGAAUAUGCUAGAAAUAAGUUAAGCUCUGGAGGCAGUGCCAAAAAAGAUUCAUGUCUAGGGUGGCAAAGUAGAGAUCUGUGUUAAACCAAACCACCCUCAGCAAGUAGUCAUCAGAAACAGAUCAGAGCACCAUCAGAAGCAGGCCUUCCUCAGGACAGAAUCAUGGGGGAAAAAUGGAACCAGUCCAUCCAGAGACAGUAGAGAUGUCUUCACAAAAACAGUCACUACUCAAAAAGGCUCUCAUAUGUAACCAACCCCAAAUUCCUUCUGCUGACCACAGUGGAAAGGCUGAAGGAUACAUACGGCUUCUGACUGAGAGGAAUACAGUAGGUUUUUGAAAGCCUUGUUGCCUGCCCGAAGAAGUGACCACACGGAACAUGUCCGUUCCUGAGUAUGCUUUUCCCCUCUCUCCUUGGCGUUGUUGCACAGGAAUGUUCCAAACAGGCAGGAAUAGGUAUGCUGCACCAGUUUCACCUAUGGAAGUCCAAUGAAGCACAAAUUAAGCAAUCAGGCAUGCACACUCUGAUAAGUCAGCUCAGCUGAGCCACCUUAUCCUAACAUCCCUGAGAACACUUCAAUUUACUCUGUCAGGACAGGGAACCCAGUAAGCCAUGCAGUAGCCUCCUCCUCAUACCACCAAUUCCAGGACCCAACAACCUGAGUCAGACAGGUUGUUGGUGCCCCCAUUCCUCUUAGCUUCCGUGAUAAAUAGUCUGAGAUUGUGAAUUAACAGCCACUCUCACAAGCGCCACAGCAUAUGAACUGGGUGCAGGAGCACGUCAGUGUACAACUCAAGUCUGAGCUGACAGUAUAUUUGUAAAACUACUUGUUCAUUCUACAAAUUAUUGAGCAUUUCACAUGGCCCAAACAUGACUAAGGUGCUGGGCAUGUAGCAAUGACCAGCAAAUUCUUCUGCCCUGAUGGAGCUUGCUCUAGUCAUAGCUGAAGAGUGACCAGUGCUACGGAGAACAAGGCAGACUGAGAUGGACAGGACACAUAUGAGGCAGUGCAGGAUGGCCUCACUGGCUGGGACCCAGUGGACAUGAAAGAGCAGGCAUGUGGGUAUCUGAGGGGAAGCAAUCCAGGCAGAGGCAACCACAGGUGCAAUGGCUUUGAGGUAAAGCACAUGCUUGCAAUUUCUGAGCUACAGCAAGGAGGCCAGUGUGACUAAAGGAGAUUGCAGAAGAGGGAGAAUGGUAGGAAAUGAACCUAGAGAGGUAACCUCUAGGAAGGCCCUGGAGACCAUUUUAAGAACUUUGGCUUUUGUGUAAAAUGUAACUAGAGGUUUUUAAGCCAAGGAAUGACACAGCCUGCCUUGUGUUUUAGAAGAGACUCUCUAUGCUGGGAUAACUCAAUUGGGGCAGGAGAUGAUGGUGGCUUGAACCAGUGUGGUACCAGUAAAGGUGGCAAUAAAUAACCAGGUUUUAGAUAUAUUGUGAAAGCAGAGCUGCAGAAUCUGACUGAAUGUGGAAGAGGGAGGGAGGGAAGUAGGGAGGGAGGGAGGGAGGAAGGAGACUUGACGAUGACAAAGAAUUUUGCCCCAAACAAAAGGAGGGAUGGAAAUGACAUAUGGUGAGAGAGAAGACUUCUGGAAGAUCAAGUUUUAUAGUGAGGAAACACAGGAAUCAAGAAUCAAGUUGUGGACAGGCAUGGUGACUCAUGCCUGUUAAUACCAGCAUUUUGGAAGGCCGGGGUGGGAGGAUAUUGUUUGAGCCCAGGUGUUUGAGACCUGCCUGGGCAACAAAGACCCCAUGUCUUAAAAAAAAAAAAAAAUUAAAAACAUCAGCCAGGCACAGUGGUACGCACCUGCAGUCCUAGCUACUCAGGGGGCUAAGGUGAGAAGAUCACUUGACCCUGGGAGUUCAAGGCUGCAGUGGGCUGUGUUUGCGCCACUGUACUCCAGCCUGGGUGACAGAGUGAGAUGCUGUCUCCAAAAAGAAGCAUCAAGUUUUGAAUUUAUUAAGUCUGAAUCAACAUUAAGACAGCCAAGUGGAGAUACCUUGUAGUAACUUAGAUACGUGAGUCUGAAGUGGAGAGGUCUAAGCUGAAGGUGUAUAAAUGUGGGACUCAUCAGCAUACAGAUGGCAAUUAAAGCCACUAGAAUGGAUGAAAUACUUGGAAGUGUGGAUGGAGGAGCAGCCUGGAGGCUGAGCAAUGGGGCAUUCCAACAUUUAGAACUGGGGAGAGGAGGCUAGGUGUCGAAGCUUACGCCUGUAAUUCUUUGGGCAACCAAGGCGGGAGAAUCACUUGCCAGGAGGUUUGAGACCAGCCUGGGCAACACAGCGAGACUCCAUGUCUAUUUACAAAAAAUUUUUAAAAACUAGCCAGGCAUCUUGGCAUGUGCCUGUGGUCCCAGCUACUGGGGAGGCUGAGGUGGGAGAAUCUCUUGAUCCCAGAAGUUGGAGGAUGCAGUAAGUUAUGAUCACACUGCUGCACUCCAGCUUGGGUGACACAGCAAGAUACUAUCUCAAAAAAAAAAGAAAAGAAUUGGAGGGAUUAAGGGGAAUCAGCAAAGGAGGCAGAAACAACCCAGUAAGGUAAAAGGAGAACUAACAGCAAGGAAGUACUAGAAGUCAACUGCAAGGAAGUACUAGAAGGUCAAUUGAAGAAAGCAUUUCAAGGAAGGAGUGGUUAAACUGUGCCAAAUGGUAAUGAUGGAUCAAAGAGAUGAAGACUGAGAACUUCUCACUGGAUUGGUGGCAUGAAGGCCACUGGUCAUUUUAACAAGAGCAGCUUUGUUAAGCAGUGGGGUGAAUGCCUGAUUGAAGUGGGUUUAAGAGAGAGUGGAAAGAGAAAUUUGAGAUAGCAAGGGUAGAAAACUUGAGGAGCUCUGCUGUAAAGGGGAACAAGAGCAAUGGGAUGAUAGCUAGAGGUAAAUGCAGGACCAAGAAUGGGUUUUAAAAAGAUGAGAGACACUACACAUUUUUAAGCUGAAACCCAUGCUCUGGUAGAGAGGGAAACGCACUGAUGCAGAAGGCAGAGAAGAGAAAUGCUGGAGCCAGCCAGUGCAGCAGAUGAGAGGAGAUGAGAGCUGGUAUACAAAUGGACAGAGGGGCUGAAAGAGGGCAGGGAUAGUGUACCCUCCAUCAAAGGAGAGGGUGCAGAGUCUGAGACAGUCAUGGGGGUCUGGUAGACAGACUGGAGGGAGCAUGGUCCAGACAUUCUGAUUGCUUCUAUUUCUAACUGCUAUUUAGGGUUUCUACCAUCCCUUUAAAAAAAAACUAAGUUUAAAACAACACAAGGACUUCAUGCAAACCUGGUAUACCUGGAUUUUCUCUUUUUGAAAAUAGCAAAAUUAUUUACUAAAAAAAAAAAAAAAAAAAAAGCAGAAACAGGAAAAAAAUCACCUCUAUUAAAUUCUGAAGAGGCAGCACAGUUUCAUGUGAGAACUGGCCCACUAACAUUUGUACUGACCCUCCUUCAAAUUGAGAAAGUCCCCAAAAUGAAGAAACUUACAAGGAAUGCUUCAUUGAACUCAAAAGAGCAAGGAAAUUGCCUCUGAAGCUGAUGAACACAGUCAAGCCACUGCAGAAACACUGGGCAACGUUCAUUCAGAUCAUCCGAGUUCUCCCCAUGACCACACCGGUCAGCAAAUUUAUGGCCAAAAUCCAGCCACUCCAUUUCCACGAGGACCUGGAAACCCUGCAGGGAAGCAUCCAGGAGAGACCAUUUGUGCUAGACUAUCCAGACUGUGACAGUCCUAAGCCUGGUGUCACAGAAAGCAAUCCCCUCUAACAGCCUCCCAGAAAGCCCACCAGGCCUUGCCCUUUGGUGGAAGGCUCUAUCCCUGAUGAGGCACACACUUAGGGAAAUUUCCCAAUUCCCUGAACUCCAUUCCAUGAUCACUAAAAUGGUACUGACUGCGUUUAUCCAAGCCUUUCUUGAAUGUGUAUUUUUAGCCUCUUGUGUUCACUAUAUAAAAACCACACUUUUCCCCUAAAUUUCUCUUAACAUUUCUGCCUCUGGUGUUACAAAGUCAAGUCUGUAAAAUCCUUCUAUACCCCAAGUUUAAUUAAUACUUGCAUAUAUUUUAGGGUACUUUAUGAUUUUUCUUUCAUCUUUAACCCAACAGAUGGUUAUUUCAGGUAGAGCUGCUUCUCCACAGAACACUCUGGUAAUAUCUAGCAUGCCAGGAUCCUUUUACAGACGCCUUAUUUUCCUGAGGUAGCUAAAAACUUUUACAAGUAGAUAGACUGUAAAGGAAAAUAUGUCUAUAUUCUCAAUACCUUGUUACCCAUAAUCUGCCCCAUUUUAAGAGGUGCAAGAACUGUGGGAGGAACCACCACAAUUUAGCUCAUGGCAUAAAGGAACAAUGACCGAAACAGAAAUUUCACUUUCUUUAACCGAAUCACCACUCCCAAAACUGGUAUCACUCCUGAGACGUUUCCCUGGCUCAUCCUGAAGUACCAACCCCUCCCAUUUGGAUGGGCUCACCUCUAUGGUUCGGUAAUAAGGGUCCAGCAAGAGCUUAGCCAAUGCCACAAUCUGGGGGGUGCGGUCCCAGCCAUCUGAGCAGUGCACUAGCACCGGCCGCUGAUCCUGAUCCACAGCAUGCACUACCAGAAGCGCUGAUUUCAGAAGCACAGACAAGUGAUGGAGCCAUUUUGUGCUUUCAAGAGCUGAUAGCCAACUAUAAAAACAGGAAAGGAUUAGAAAAUGCUGAUUUUUUUAUGAUUUACUGCGUCAUGCUCAAUGAUUGUCAAAUGAAAAAGCAAUUUCCAAAGAUUUCUCUCUCCAAAUAUAACACUGCCAAAACAAAAAAAUCUGUGUGUUUAUAAAGCAUGUCUCAGGAUGAGGCCCAAGCCCUACUAUACAAUAGAGAAGAGCCUUAGAAAUAGGGGCUACAAUUAAUAGCACACCUUUUGUUCCAAAAUCUGUAUGGAUGAUUCCCCGGACAAAAUAUUUGACAUUUUUCAGUCCAUGGUAUAAGGAAAGUGGCUCUUUCUGGAAUCUGCUCCUGAAUAAAAAAUGUAGCCACUUCUGAGAUGUAAAACAGAAGAUAUUUAUAUUUAAUGAUCAGCAACUAUGCCCAACAAAUUCUCAAAAAAAAAAAAAAGAAAAAGAAAAACUCAUGAAUACAAAUAUAUCUAUGAGACAUAAGCUGGAUGCCGUAUACAAGAAUGGUACACACAACCCUGCCUAUGACCCAGACUGUAACACUUACCACUGUUUAAUUCUUUAAUGUUUACUGACUAAAACAAGAUGAGCCCAAUCUGAUAAUUUAUACUGAUACAAAUUAGUAUACCAAUGGCCACACAGUAUUGCUGGGCUCAACACAGACUGGAUUCAGCAGCGAUCUAGGAAGAACCUUUUUUUGAAAGACUUUUAGGGGCCGGGCGCAGUGGCUCAUACCUGUAAUCCCAGCACUUUCGGAGGCUGAGGUGGGUGGAUCACUUGAGGUCAGGAGUUCCAGACCAGCCUGGCCAACAUGGUGAAACCCCAUCUCUACUAAAAAUACAAAAAUUAGCUGGGCAUAGUGGCACACGCCUGUAAUCCCAGCUACUCAGGAGGCUGAGGCAGGAGAAUCACUUGAACCCGGGAGGUGGAGGUUGCAGUGAGCUGAGAUCAGGCCACCGCACUCCAGCAUGGAUGACAGAGAGAGACUCCAUCUCACUUUUGGAGUAUCAGAUAGCAGUAGCUGCCCCUUGGGAGUAAUCACAAGCUAAUCACACUUGCUUUUUAAACUCUGUUGCAUUUUGUUUCUUGUGCUUUCCCUCACCCCUCCCAAUCCCUAAAAAGGAGUUGAUUUUUCCCAAAUGUGAUCAGAUUUGUAGUUAAGAUCACAAGUCAAGUCUUUCAAACACUGAGUCAGAGGAAGAAAUAAACAUUUCUGUCAGGGGACUGUGGGAAGGCUAUAAAGGCCUACUAAACCCUGUGGAAUAAGUAUGAAAUUUUGGCAUAGUCUAAGGAGGUGGGGGUCUUUCCAGGCAAAGAGACAACAGAAUGCAGUGCAUAAGUACUGGUUGUAUAUGGAUUUGUUUGGACUACCAACCAGACUGUGACUCCUCAGAGGGCUAACACUAUGUCUCAGUCAUAACUGUACCCCCAGCACAGUGCCUAGCAUACAGUAAGGAGUCCCACUGUUUAAUGAAUUGUAAGUCUGUUAUGGGUAAAAAUCCAAUCUUAAGACUUUCUAUCUCCUAGCAGGUACCUGAGAAACACUUUUUCCUGAUGGAUCAAUUGUUUAUUUCAUUCCUCACAUAUUCUUGAAAGGAACUAAAAGAUAAGGCUUAGGAGAACAAAUACUAAAUUAUCUCCUAGCACCUGAAGAAAUGGUAAACAAGAGAACCGGUGUGAGGUUCUUUUGAACCUAACUAAACUAUUAUUUAAUACCAGUUGGUGUUGUCUGUGACUAAUGAAGCUGUACUCCAAAACCUGCCAGCCAAGGAGGGGCUGCUGAGAGACUCCCCAUUCCCUUGUCCUAUUCUCAACCUGCACUAGAAGCCUACCAUUCCCCUAUCCUCCACAGCCCCAAACACAGGCCGGGGGGCCUAAUUACAGCUGCCCAUCACUGCUACAGCUGCUUUUUACCCAUGAGGGAGUCUUCAGUGCAGCAUUAUGAUUUGCUGCCAAAUACAUAAAAGCAUUACCUUUAAUAAAAUCCCCAAGACAUUUAUGUGGACCAGGUGAGGGCUAAUUCUAUCUUUUUUGACUCUGAUAGCUCUUUAAGAAUUUUAAUAUAUGGAGGGUAUUAGAGAUCAUGUAGUGUUGAUUACAUGUCUUUCAUUUUAUAGACAGGAAAACUGAGAUCUACAGUAGUUAAACCCCUUGGCCAAGGUUACACAGUUCGCGGCCGAUCUCCUGGGUCCUUAGUAAGGCUCCUUCUACAUACCACCCUAGGGAAGAAAGCGCUGCUAGCUGGGACCUGGAACUGUGUAGCAAAUGCAAAUGGCUAAUCCCCAAAGGAGGCAGCAAGCUCAAUUCUCCGGUCAGGCUUUCCCCAAAGGCACUGCUUCAUCCUCUUGGCUGAUGACAACUACGGUGAAUUUAAUCAUUUGCUACUGGCAGUCAAUAUAAGUGGUUUAGGCAGCAUCUGAUUUAAUAAAUCAAAUAAAGAACGCAGUAAAACUUGAUGUGAUCAUGAGAUCUACUGAAUAGGACCCAGAGAAACAACUAUGGGCUCCAGCACAAAUACCAGAAAAAAGAAAAUUCUGUCUUCUCUGGCACCUAUCUCUGGCUUCCUGAAAUAGUAAAACAGGAUUUUUAAAUACUUAUCUGUCCAUAUUUGUUUUACAGAGCAUUCUUCCUAAUUUAUCUUGUAUUCAAUCAGUACCCUUGGAGGGGGUAUUAUUUCACCUUCCUCACUGCAAAUGCCAGCCAUUCAUAUUUAAUAAGCAAUAAGAAUCAGGAUAAUAUGCUUAGUAAAUGAGAACAGUUUAGAAAUUGAAAGCAGAUGUAAAAGGAACUGACUUAAUGGCAAGUUUAACCCCUUUAGAACAUGAUGAAUAAAUUCUGACUUUUCAUGAUAAAACAUCCCAGAGUUCAUAACAGGUUAUGUAUCACUAUGGGACAUCAGAAACUGAAGAAUUAAAUUUCUUUGGGCUAAAAAUGAUGUGGAAGGGAAAGGUCCCAGGACAAACAGUAAGGUAAUGCUUCUGUUUUGAUGCUGAGAUUUCUUCUGUGCUGCAGAUUUUAAAACCUUUCAAAUGGCUGUAUUUUCUCCCAACUCUUCCUCUGUGCUGCCACAUUUCAGACCCAGCAAGGAGAUACUUGCAGAGACUGGUCUGGUAACUGAAGAUUACCAAGAAACAGAAGGAAAGACUGCUCCAAAUUAAUUUUUUUUUCUUUUUUUCCCCCUUAGUUCGAGGAAAGAAGCAAACUUAUUAUUUAAGAGCGAUGCAAAAUGAAAGCCAAGGCCAAGGACUUACUUUCCCGGAUCUGGCAUCUGAGUGCACAGCAACCGCAGAGACUGAAAACUCCUCCGAAUAGAAUGAAUGUUUGCCAUCCCCAUAAACACAACUUCACAGUUUGGGUAAUACUCUGGAGAGAGUAACAAUAAAGAGAACACAAAUACGUUGAACUUAAAGCCCACAUGGCCAAAUUUAAAAGCAAACUGGCUAUAAAACAAACCCACUGCAGCUUCUGAUUAACGAAACUGAAAUGUUUUGAAAUGCUUAACUAUUAGCCCAAUCCUUUAUAAUAAGAGGAACACAUUGAAUUUUAGCUAUCUUUUCAAAACGCGUGAAAAGGGAAGGUUAGAUUUGUAAAGAAGAUACUGACAUAAAAUAAAAGCUAUUAUUUUUUAAAAGAAAGGCCUACUUCGAUCUCACUCUGGCUUUACUUCUUGGGCCUUAUCUAACUUGUGGCUUUGAAAUCUCUUUGAAAAGAACUCCGCAGAACAAUGCGUUCACACAUUCAAAUUUCACCUUGGUACAGCUGCUUUCAAUUUCCAGCUUAGACCACAUCUGAACAAAGAGCCUGGUGCCUCUGCCUGUGCCAGAGGCACUGAGGGGGGUCCCUCCUUGGGGAAAGCUAGCAUUCCAACAGUAAUGGUGUUACAGCUCAGGACAGAGAUACCUUACUAGGGUUCUGUAUUUACUGCUUCAAUUUUCACCCCAGGUUUUCUAAGGAGAGGCCCUUGAGGAGUUUGCUACAAGGCCAGUGAUGAGCAUACCCUCUGUCAAAGGCAAAAAAAAGCUUUUAGAUGGCUGAGAAAUUGAGCCCACUAAAGCAGCAGCUUCCAAACAUGAACAGGCCUUAUUAUGGGGAAGAUCUGCUUUCCUUAUCACCUACAAGUUGGCACAAGGAAGGAAGAUUAUGUGACUUCACUGCACCUCCUCCUCCAUUUCUCCUCAGAAAAGAACAUACAGUGUUAAGAAUCCAAAGAGAAGCUCUGGCACUCUCACGACAGGAUGGAUGAGGAAUAUGGCUUGCCACUUAUUUCAAAUUGGGAACUAAGUCUCAGUUGGGCAAGGGCUACACUCACAAGGAGAAAGUAUGGGGAACAAAGCACCAUACACCUCACCUGGGCAUUCGCAGCCUCCUCCUUUGGCUCGGUUUGCCACAGCAGCUGCAUAGGAGCGUGCAUCCAAGAUCAAAAGCUUCUGCGGUUGGAUGGCUAAACUCUCUGCUCCUGAAGCAUUUGACAGAGAAGAAUCUAGGGACACAGAGGGAGAGGGCAUACUAAAUGAGCCUGUCUCUCCCAGAACUGUGCAGAAUUAGACCCACAAGCACAUCUUAUGGCACAAAAAAGGCUCAAUAAAAUGAAAUCCCCUAACCAAAACCCUUGAUACAUAGGAUUUUUCUCUUUAUUUUCUAUGUGGCCUUCUUAUGAAAGAUGAGAAGGAUUUAUUCUCCAAAACUGACUCCCAGAGUACACAUGGGGUUCACACAGCCCAGUCUCUUAUACUUCAUUUCUAUAUCUGUUGUCCUUUCAUGAAGCCUGGCAUUUCCUGCCAUGGUCUGCAGAUACUGCAAGUCCUCUAUUACAUAAACACUCCAUUUUUGUCACAAUGGCAAGAAAGACAACAAACACACUAAUAUCUUGAUUCAGGUUUGAAACAAAGAGUCUUCUGAUUCUCUGCCAAGACCCAUGACUCCUCAAUCAAUCCCAUCAAGUGAAGCUCUGCACAUUCACUUCUAUAAAAGUAAAUCUAUGUCUUGUAAGGAAGAGGCCAUUUCAAGAAAAGGUUCUUAGAUGCUAUAAAAAUCAUUGCCAUGGGUCCAGGGAGCACCUUACCGAACUCCACGUCAGAAAGGUCUCCCCCAUUGGGAAAGUCUCGAGAAGUGUUCCUAGUUGACAGCUUGCUGCCACUCGAUCGGGAGUCAGAGGCACAAGCUUUGGCUACUGACUGUACCAGAUGCUCAUCAUCUGCAUUUCGCCAGCCCCACCAGCUAACCUCUGGCUGUCCACAGCGGGCAAUGACAGCUCCAUUGCUCUGGUGCCUGUGUGAGGAACAAGAGACAACAACUGUACCCAUUCAGAUGCUCUCUGUACUCACACAAAAUAGAUUUUAAGUGCCUUAAUGAACAGUCUAAUUCUAGGUAAGUGUUGGGUCAGCUUCAAGUCCUCUCAGUAUUAAAGAGGGUAGAAAUCUUACACAACCAACAAGAACAAACAACAAAACCUGUGUGUCUUUCUCAAUUACCAUAACAUCACGGAGAUCCCUGUAAAGUUACCCAAAAAAAUGACUAACAGGGGUCAGGCAUGGAGGCUCACUCUGCAAUCCCAGCACUUUGAGAGGCUGAGGCAGGAGGAUCACUUGAGCCCAGGAGUUCAAGACCAGCCUGAGCAACAUAGCAAGACCCCAUCUUUACAAAAAAAUUUUUACAAAUUAGCCAGGCAUGGUAGCACAUGCCUGUAGUCGCAGCUACUCAGGAGGCUGAGGUGGAAGGAUCCCUUGAACCCAGAAGGCUGAAGUUGCAGAAAGCUAUGAUUGUGCCACUGCACUCCAGCACUCCAGCUUGGGUGACAGAGCAAGACCCCAUUUCCAAAAAACAAAAAAGAAUUAAUGUGUACUCUUAGUGAAAAUAAAUCAAUAUUCGUAACUUAAAUCUAUAGGUACUACACUAAUUCUGCUACCCAAUAGUGAAAUCUGCUACCUUCUUAAUGCUGAACCAAGAGCCCGCCUCUGGGAAUAAAACAUUUACCUGGCCCACAGUGAACUGCUUUACAAAAUCUCCUGAGAUUUCAUGAGUCACAGACUGCUCUUAUAAUAGGCAGAUAGCUCAAUGAGCCAGCUACCCUUCCUAGGGCUCUUAAGAAAGAGAAGAAGAGCAUCAACCUCAGAAAACCAUACUCUGACAUAUCCUUUUCCAAUAAGACAGACCAGAAAUCACAGUCUACUUUAAGGUGCUAUUAAAACCCAGACUUUUCCUAAUUAGGCAAUUUUAACUGAUAAAAAGUUAGAAAAAUUCUAUUACUUGGCAGUAAAGAGGAAUAAAGUUCUGAAACAGGCUAGGACACUGAUGAACCUCAAAUAUGUUAUGACAAGUGAAAGAAGUCAGUCACAAAAGGCAACUUAUUGUACGACAAUUAACAUGAAGUACCCAGAAUAGGCGAAUCUAUAAAGACGGAAGUAGAUUUCUGCAUGUAGUGACUAUUAUAAACUCCUAGUUACUUAAGGGAGCUUGCCUAAUUCUAAGUUGGGGUUACUUAAAACGAGUAUGUUUCUAUAUAAAACUGAAGCACUCUAUGUUUUAGUAGCAGGGGCUUUAUCCAUUGGACAUCUUAAUUAUUCAGGGCUAGGGUGGCUGGGUGCCCUGUGAAUGGGUUUUUUGGGACGAUGAAAAUGUACUGUAAUUUGUUUUUACUCCUAAAACUCACAAAUAAGUUAAAUUUGGCACUAAUCAAAUUCCACUGAAAUCACCAGUUUGCUUGAAGUUUUUAAAUCCUCCCUCCCUGGGAGACAAGUAGCUGUAAGUACUUGUGUAUUGCCAACAUGUUCAACUGGCUCACGUGUUGAAUGGGGCCAAAAUAGAAAUAAAACCUCAAUGAUUCUUUAUAAAAUGUCUCCUAGCAAAUAACAGGCACUGGGCAACCACUGAGCUGAAUGACUCCAAACCCUGCACAAGAGGCUGGUUGGGCCUUUCCUGAGCAUCCUCCUCUUCUUCAAUGCUUCCCAGCAGUGCCCAAGAGGAGCAGUAGAUGGCGCUCUUCAGCCUGGAUCUUGGGUUUUAGGGGACAUUGCAUUAUAGUAGCUAUUAGAUUUCAACUGGACUAUUGCAAUAAACAAUUAUGUUUUCUGCAGUCUUCUAAAAUGCUUCAGACUACAUGAAAGAUAAUUCAAACACUACAGUUAAAAAUCACUAAAGGAAUGCAUUUCUAUCACUAACAGAACCAGGCAAAGUAUAAAAAUUAUGAUGUCCAACAUAUAAAGCCCUCCCUACUAAAACACAGAGAAUGCUUCAAUUUUAUAUAGGAACAGAAUUGUCUUAAGUAACCCCAACUUAGAUUUAGGCAAGCUCCCUUAAGUAACUAGGAGUUUAGAAUAAUCACCACAUGCACAAAGGAAAAAGCUGUGAACUGCACUACAGAUGGGUGCCCUUUACAUCAUCUUGCUGUGUUAGAGCAAUCUCUACCUUCAGUUAUAAAUCCAAUUAAGUGCUCUCUCAUCACAGUAGGACAAAGCCCUAAUCAAGCGCUGGUUCAGCAUGGUGCUGUCAAGUAACUGCUGCUGGCAACCUCAGGAAUCAUGACCCAAUCUACAGACAACUAAAUUCAGGAAAUGGAUGUCAAGAGUUCCAGGCAUCCUGCCACCUAGGCUGGCAAAGCAGAGCAUGGUGGAGGAUCCGAUUCUUCCACACGCCCCUUACAAAGCUCCCAAAUACUACAGCAACCCAGUUUGCAUCUCAGCGAUACAAGACACAUGUUCUGAGACAGAGCCGAGUUCCAGGAAACCUGCCUGAUUUUGCAUGGAUGACUACACCAAGAACUUUGUGAUCUUUUGAAAGACUUUCUCUGAAAAACUGCAAAUAAAAUUUUUCAUUUAUAUAUCCUCUUGUAUCUCUAGAAAAAGGGGGGAAAAACCUAGGGUGCAUGCCCUCUAGAAUUAAUUUUAGAAGGUGCAUGCCCUCUAGAAUAAAAUUUAGAAAAAAAGGAAGUUUUUCUUCAACCAGCCCUCUUAAGCUUCUCUUCCCAAAGGGAGAAUUCACCUAAAGCCUCUUAUUUUGCAAAUAAGAGUACCUUCCCCCUUUUGGUCAAAGUCAGCAAGCCCCACAGAUGCCAGGGCUGCUGACCUAACACAGUUGUUGGCCAGAGCAGCAACUGGCUGCUUUCCCCAUUCCAGCUGAGCUGAUCAUUGAUAAGACUCAUAAAUCCCUUCAGCUUUCACUACUCUCUAGUUCCUGUAGCAUCCUUACCACUUGAAUGAUAGGUAAAUUUGGUGACUGACUUUUCUAGGGGUGUCUGAAAACAACAGUGAUGAGAAUUGAGAUUAAAAAUGUAAUGAGUUCCACUGGGCCAGAGCAAAUACUUUUCCAUCUCUCUCCAUUCAGAGUGGGCAUCAGAGUUUGCCUUUAGUAGACUAAAUGAACAAGCUGGUUACCUCUGUAGGAAUUCCACAAGGAGACAAAUCCCUUCCUACAAUCUCAAUAUUUCAGUGGAAUGAAGUUUCUAACUGUAAGCCACUGGAUUGGCCCAACUCAGGGAGAGUCCAAAAAGCCGGCAAACUGGGAAAAUGAAAUGGAGAAUGUAAACAUUACAAAGAGAUGACAUCCAAAACAUUUCCAGAAUAAGAAGGAAGGACUUCUUUAAAAUUUAAUAGGAUUCUGUGAGAACUGAGAUAUUCAAUGAAUUAUAAAAGCAGCACUCAAGAGAUUUAACCUACUCCAAAUGCUGGUACAGAAGCUCAGUGUUUAUAGCCCCUCAUUUAGAACCAGAACAUAUCUACAAAGUAAGAACUACCAUUCCCAUUGUAUUCAUUAGGAACAGACUGAGGUCAGUUAGGGAACUUAUUCAAGGUGCCUUAGCAAGAAGUCUAAGAAUAUACCUGAAUUCAGAUCUGUGAUUCCAAAAUCUGUGCUCCAUCACCAUGCCACCAUCCCCAUCUAGAACUUGCAUCCCAUGGCUCUCAUGCCUCUGAUCACUGAAAUCUUCUAUCUAGUCAUGCCCCCGUCUUCUUCUCUAAAUGCUUCCUCUCGAAACAGAGUUCUUCCACAUGUCAAAGUUUCAACCACAAAGACAAUCAGAGCCAACUCGACCCUAUAUUCCCAAAGAUCACUUUCUAAGACUCAUCUCUCAAUCCAAAAGCCCUGCUAACAGCUGAAGCUAAAUGCUUAGUAAGCACAUUAUCUUCUCACAGAAUGUAAGAAGGAUAUUGAAAUAGCAAGUCCAGCCACUUUACAACUAAAACUUUCUUAUCUGUUUCAAAUGAACAACCAGCUAGUGUUCUGAAUGCAGUCAGUACUGAUGUGUUACUGGAGGAGAAGCUUUAACAAUAAGGAAGUACAGCCUUGCCUAGAAAGUUCUCUGAACUCUCCCCACCCUUCCCAGGUUAGCAGCAGCAGAGGCAGCAGACCAUAUGCAGCAGGCAGCAGCACCAGCCCAAGCUGGGACUGGUCCAGUUUAACUUACCUGUAGAUGACGGCAGGGAUGCGCUUCCAGGACCUGAAACUUGAUACACUUUCCAGUUCUUUGUCAGUGAUCCAGGCAGGCACUAUGAGCUCUUGAGGAUAGCUACCACAUAAUCUAAAGAGAAGAUGAGAAGUGGGGAGAGUCAAGGGGAUAAGAGAGGGAGAGAGAAAACGGGAGAGAGAGAGAGACACUAGGUGAGCCAGCAUAAGGAUGAUGAUCUCACUGCCACAGAACCAGUUAAAGGCAAUGAGGCGCUUUAUUCGAGUUUUGGACUCCUCAACAGAAUGGGUUACCAUAAGUGUGUUUUGUUUUGUUUUGUUGCCUUAAAUGUUUACUUAUGUGUAUACAACAAAUGAUACUAUCUUGAAUUGUUCCACUUGAUGCUACCUUUUGGGAAUCUGGCAAUCUUAACUAUCAAUGAAAAAAAGGGGAGUCGAGGGUCAGCUCUUUAUACUCCAUUACAACUCUUCUGCUGUAACAAGUACAUAGGUUAUUUCUAACUACAUGAGCGCCCAGUCCAAUUACAGAACUGAGAGUCCGUGUCAGUUCUACCAGACCCUCAGGGAAGGACAAAAGCCCACAAUUGCAAGUUUCCAGAGACUUCACAGGAUUAACUCAUUCUUUGAUUUGAACCAAACAGGGUGUCAUCCUUACAGGUAACAGGUGCAGCCAUGGGUAUGCAAAAACAACGCAAUCCAGUCUAUCUGCAUACACAGCCUCAGUCCCAUUGAACCAGGUUAGUAAUGUGACUAAGCUAUUAACUAUAAUUUCCAUAAAACAUACUUCAGAACAAAUUAUACUGGGGGCGGGGGGAUAAGCUUUCUUUUAAUUAGGGAAGAUCCCAGCUACAGUCAAGCCCGUAUCCUAGGAAGCAAUACUUCCGAUAGAUUUUUACUUAUAGGACAAAGUCUCUCUCUGGAUAAUCCAAUCUUCUUUUUUCAAUAGUGAAGGCAAUAAGGCCUUUAAUCCAAAUCCUAAAACACACAAACUCCACCAACACCACCAACCUCCUGCCCUAGCCUAUCCUAUACAUAGCAGAAAGCGCAGAAAAACACAAAAUGGCUUAGGAUUUGGGGGUUUUGAUCAUUUUGCACUAAAUCUCUCCUCUUCUCAAUUUCCAGAAGAGGAGACUUCUGGAAUUUUCAGGAAUUUAAAAGCCACUGAACAAAAGAGAAUGGCUAUGACUAAGAGUAGCUAUACAAACUUCCUAACACCUAUUCACAAACUCCUAAAAAUAAGCUGGGAGCCAGUAAUGAUGGUUAAUAUCUAACCAUGAAUCUCAUUCCCUUUAUUAUGUAUUAAACUCAAGAGUAAACUUGGCUCUCACUCUUCUACCUUUGUAGUAGGAAGAACUUUCAACAUCCUAUUGUUUCCCACCACCCCCCAUUUUGUUUUAUGGUGGUGAUAACAUCCUAAAGACUGGUUCUGAGGUAUAACUGGUAAACUCCUUGAGACAGUUGUUCUGUUACCCAGGCUAGAGAGCAGUGGAGCGGUCAUGGCUCACAGCAGCCUCGACCUCCUGGGCUCAAACAACUCUUCUACUUCAGCCUCCCCAGUAGCUGGGACUACAGGCAUGCACCACCAUGCCCAACUAAUUUUUUUUUCUUUGAGAUGGAGUCUCGCUCUGUCGCCCAGGCUGGAAUGCAGUGGCAUGAUCUCGGUUCAUUGCAAGCUCCACCUCCCAGGUUCACGCCAUUCUCCUGCCUCAGUCUCCUGAGUAGCUGGGACUACAGGCGCCCGCCACCACGCCGGCUAAUUUUUUUGUAUUUUUAGUAGAGACGGGGUUUCACUGUGUUAGCCAGGAUGGUCUCGAUCUCCUGAGCUCGUGAUCCACCCGCCUCGGCCUCCCAAAGUGCUAGGAUUAGAGGAAUGAGCCACCAUGCCUGGCCAAAUUUUUAAGAAAUUUUCUGUAGAGAUGAGGUCUCACUAUGUUGCCCAGCCUAGUCUCAAACUCCUGGGCUUAAUCAAUCCUCCUAUCUUGGCCUCUCAAGAAGUUAAUUUUUAAAAGCCGAAUUAGGGAUUAUUUUCCAACAAGUCUGUCUUAAUUCACAGUUUUUUUUUACUUGAUCUAAUUUUCUAAACAUUCUGUUCAUUGUCCUAUAGGUACUACACUCCCAGUAGUCAGCUCUUCAGUACGCACUACCUACUCACUUGUGGAUAAACAAUUUCCAGUAUAGGUUACACUCAGGAAAGCCUAAUGCAGCCACAGGCUCUCUGAGGCCGCCCCCUCAUCCAGCAUUCACCCUCCUUCUUUGCUUUGACCCGUCACUGAGAACAGGCAAAAGUAUAAAAAGUCUGCAGCUCCAACUCUUCAAAACACCCUGGGUUCUCAACUCCCUGGAGAAGGUCCACAUUAAGAACUGUGUAUAGCAAUUAGCUAUAGCUUUUCCAGUGAAAACUCUGACGGCUAGCCACAAACAGACCAGGAAAAUGCCCGUCAUAAUUUGAGACAGCUAAGAGGACUGCAGAAUGAUUAAUGAUGCAGGGAAACGUAGGAGAAGGAUUUUUUUUUUUUUUUUUUUUUUUUAAGACAAAGUCUCGCUCGGUUGCCCAGGCUGGAGUGCAGUGGCACAAUUUCGGCUCACUGCAAGCUCCGCUUCCCAGGUUCAUGCCAUUCUCCCGCUUCAGCCUCCCAAGUAGCUGGGACUACAGCCACCUGCAACCAUGCCCGGGUAAUUUUUUGUAUUUUUAGUAGAGACGGGGUUUCACCGUGUUAGCCAGGAUGGUCUCGAUCUCCUGACCUCAUGAUCCUCCUGCCUCGGCCUCCCAAAGUGCUGGGAUUACAGGCGUGAGCCACCGCGCCUGGCCAAGAAGGAUAUAGUUAAAGAUUUAAGAUAUUUAACUAUCAUGGACAAUUUUGUUUUAUAGAAAUUUGGAUCACCAAAAUCAUAGUAGUUAACUGUCCUCCCCCACCAACGCACUUACACAUUUUAAGGAACUGGGUAAUGGCUAAAUGGUUACAUUAAUUUUUUUUUUGCGACAGAGUCUCACCCUAUCACCCACGUUGGAAUAUAGUGGUGCAAUCUCAGCUCACUACAACCUCCACCUCCCAGGUUCAAGCAAUUCUCCUGCCUCAGCCUCCCAAGUUGCUGGGACUACAGGCGUGCACCACCAUGCCCAGCUAAUUUUUGUAUUUUUAGUAGAGACAGGGUUUCGCCAUGUUGGCCGGGCUGGUCUCGAACUCCUGACCUCAGCUGAUCUGCCUUGGCCUCCCAAAGUGCUGGGAUUGCAGGUGUGAGCCACCAUGUCCAGCCAAAUAAAGGUUACAUUAAUAUUUAAUGGUUAAAUGAUCAUAGCAGUGAAGUUGGUUUUAGAUCAAUAUAUUAAAGGACAGAGUAAUACAGAUUGAGCAUCUUUAAUCCAAAAAUCUGAAAUGCUCCAAAAUCCAAAACUUUGAGUGCUGACAUAAUGCCACAAGUGGAAAAUUCUACACUUGACCUCAUGUGAUGGGUCACAGUCAAGUCACAGUCAAAACUUUUCGUACAAAACAUCAUGCAUGAAAUUAUUUAAAAUAUUGUACAAAAUUACCUUCCAGCUGUGAAAUGUGUAUAUGAGACAAAUAAUUUUGUGUUUAGACUUGGGUCCCAGGCCCAAGAUAAUCUCAUUAUGUUCAUGCAAAUACUCCAAAACCUGAAAAAAAUCCAAAAUCUGAAAUAUUUACAGUCCCAAGAAUUUCAGAUAAGGGAUACUCAACUGUACUUAUGUCUAUUUCACACCACCUGGAGUAAAAUUACAGUCAUAAAAACUAGUUCAUAAAUGUUCUGUCACUGCUUAUGAGACCACUGAUCCUCUCUCUAAUGUGAUGCCAAGUGGUGAUGAGAAAAAUGGUAACUGCCUGCCUACAGGCAAAUACAAUAUUAUUUAGACAUGCAUGUACCAGAAAAAACAGAGGCCUGGGGGGGGUAAAAGGGAAGGUUCUAGGAUCCUGUUAAGUAAGGAUCACUUUCCACUCCAAUGAUAGCAACGGGAACAGAAGAUUCAAUAAAUACUCUGAAGAUCAUGCCUUUAGAUUUAAUAAAUAAAACCAUUUCAAAUAAAAAGUCUAAGUUCAAAUGUUCUGCCACAUGAGAAUUGCGGUUUCUGCAAAGGCACUGGCUGUGAAACAGUCCACAGGGACCCAUAUAACUCACUUGUACUUCUCAUUGAUGUUGGAAAUCCUCCAGGCGUUGUUCAUAUCAAAACCCAUCCUCUCCACCUCGUUUUUAAACCUUGAAGUUACAUGCUCCCCUAGAGGCCAAAGAUAAACAGCAGAAAGGAAGAAAUGAAUACCAUUUUGCAAAACAGGUGGAAUAAAAACAAAGAAAUAUACAUAUGUUACAUAUAUGUAAAUAUAUAUAUUUUUUGAGACAGGGUUCCACUCUGUCACAUAGGCCGGAGUGCAGUGGUGUGAUCUCAGCUCACUGAAACUUCCGCCUCCCAGGUUCAAGUGAUUCUUGUGCCUCAGCCACCCAAAUAGCUGGGAUUACAGGUGCAUGCCACCAUGACUGACUAAUUUUUGCACUUUCAGUAGAGAUGGGGUUUUACCACAUGGGCCAGGCUGGUCUCGAACUCCUGGCCUCAUGUGAUCUGCCCGCCUCGGCCUCCCAAAGUGCUGGGAUUACAGGCGUGAGCCACUGCGCCCAGCCUGUGUAUUUUUAAAGGUAAGAAUUGUAUAAAUAAUAAAGUAACAUAUAUUAUAUAGUUUUAGUUUAGAAAGAUCCCUGUCAGGUUAAGAUUAUAAAGAGGAAAGAAAUUAAUUCUGAUCAAGAGUUAUGUUAUCUCAUCUAACCCUUACAAUCAACUCUGAGAACAGUAUCACUGAGCUCAUUUUACAAAGGACAAAAUUAAAACAGGUUAUUAUGGCAGGCCUGUCUGGCCCCAAAAGCCAUGCUCUUGUCCUACACUGGCUACUUGCCUACUUCCACACUCAGACUGACAGUACACUUAAUAAGAAAUAAAAUCAAUAACAAGAUCACCACGAGUAGCAAUACAGAACUAUAAUUCCUCAUCCAAAACCCUUUGGUCCAAAUUUUAGAACUUGAGAGUUUUCCAAACUUUCGUUAAGGUAAGACAGUGAAUAUAAUAUUAGGCUCACAUGCUUAACAAGAUCUCCUUAAACAAAUAUUAAUAUUUCUUUCGUGAAAGGUAUAGAUCAUUCAUACCAGGUGGGAUAAAUAAAGCAACAAAUAGCUUCAUGUCAGCUCAGAUCAGGUCCAGCCAAGACACCAAAUAGGGUAUGAAAAACAUUCUGGUUUCCAGAGCCUUUUAGAGGAUGGCAGGUUAACAAGUCAUGGAAUCAUAACUGCCAGCUAGGAAUCUCUGGAAACACCAUACUACUAAGUGCUGAUUAUUUGCAAGAACAGCCACCCAAGCUGGUAUAAUCUGGCUAUAUUUGCCCUAAUGAAUCUGGCUUUAUCUUCCUUAAAAAAGCAAAACAGAGGUAGAAACGAAGCUAACAUAAAUUCAGUAAAUCUAAAAUAACUUUCUUCCUUGAAAACAUACACAGUCCUAGGGCAGCAUGUUAUUUUAAAAAAUAUUAAGCAGAACCUCUAAUAUAUAGUGGUACAGGUUGUAAAAUAAGUGCUAGCAGGGCUGGAAGAAACCACAACAACAAAAGCACAAAACAGAUUUCACUUUAGUGUUCAGAGUAUAAAGCUUUGUUCUCCCUGGGAGAGGAGCUACAGAAUAGGAAACAGCAAUUACUUGAAUGGAAGAAAAUUCUGUUAAACUACUUCCCAUUUAAACUGCUUUUCUUAAGCUCAAGCUAGGUAUUAUACAUUUCCUGAAGGAGAGCUAUAAAAAGAUGAGGUUGAGAGAAGAUGAGGUGCAAGAAGAAAUAAUAGCUAAAUCCAUCCCAUUUUGGAAAAGUUUUAGAAGCAAUGUAGCAGGCUUCCAAACAGGAAAAAACUAUCUGAAUUGGGGUGCCAUCUGUCUACAAAUUGCAAGGAAUAUUGACCAUCAAGAAUACUAGGCCAGAUGCGGUGCCUCACACGUGUAAUCCCAGCACUUUGGGAGGCUGAUGCAGGCAGAUUGCUUGAGCCCAGGAGUUCAAGACCAGCCUGGGCAACAUGGUGAAACCCCAUCUCCACAAAAAUGCAAAAAUUAAGUUGUGGUGGUCCAUGCCUAUAGUCCCAGCUACUUGAGAGGCUGAGGUGGGAGGAUCACCUGAACCUAGGGAAGCUGAGGCUGCAGUGAGCCAUCAUCACACCAUUGCACUCCAGCCUGGGCAACAGAGACAGACCCUGUCUCAAAAAAAGGGGAAAAAAACAAAACAAAACAAACAAAAAAAACAGACAAGGAGUCUUUAAUUCAUAAUCCCAAUCUAAAAGCUGCAAAACUGUGGCAAAUUUCAAGUUCAUUAAGAGAUUUUUUCCCCUGACUCUGGGAUAUAGCUCCAAGUCUUUGCAAAAGCUGUAAGUAUUUCAUUAAUGAUUUAUUUUUUUUGUGCUUUUCUUGAACUGUACAUUAAUGAUCUUUUACAUUAAUACCUCUAUCUCAGGAUAAAACACAUAGAUACCCUUAAAGGAUCUUGUGAUUUAAAAAUAACCACUGGCAAAAUAAUAACAGUAACAAUCACUAUCACUAGCAAUUUACUUCAUAGAACCAUUUCCCAAAAGACUUAGAACCACCAUCCAGAGCACAACAUUCUGAGCUAUACGCAGAAAUAUAUACUGACUAGCAGGUAUAGAAAAUCUGUUAUUUCGAGUUCUUUGGGAAUGGGAAUGAGUUUUAAUUAUUUUUAUAUCCUCUAAGGCAGUGACUUCAUAAACUCUGAAACUGACCAUCACAACCCACAAUAAGAAUUAUGUUUUACAUCACAAUACAACAAACAUGUUUUAAUUUAUUCAUUUUUUGAGAGACCGGGUUUCCCUCUGUUGCCUAAGCUGGAUUUGAACUCCUAAACUCAAGCAAUCUUCCCACCUCAGCCUCUUGAAUAGUGAGGACUAUAGGUAGACACUGUGCCCAGCUAAUACAACAUACAUUAUUUUUUUUAAAGCAUUUCACAAAACAAUACCCACUCUUACUAUGUGUGUGACACAAUUUGAUAUUUUCUAUUCCAAUUCUUUAAAAUUAGAUUUCAUGACCCACUACUGGAUCAUAACCUAUUUGAAAACCACAUCAUUACAUACAUCAGGAAUUCAACCAGCUUUUGCAAAUUGUGUGAUAUGUUCACUCACGUUUACUUAGCCAGAAAAAUAAACACAAACAGAUCUAUUGCUGGAUUCCGCUUAAAAAUCUCCAUCUCAGAAUUCUCAGGGCUCAAUCAAUUCAACAUUAAAUACAUUGUGAUAUCCCAACUUUCUUUAAAUACUGGGGCUAUAAGGUUUUUGUUUGGCUUUAUAUUUCCAUUUCAACCCUUCCUAUCUGCCUUUGUCCCUUUUCAGCAUUUAGUGUUUCUUAUAAUAAAAAUAAUACAGUCCAGCAAUUUUCACUUUAGUGGAAAUGAAAACUUUCUUUUUAAAAGCAAUGAAGUUCCCUAACUCCCUCUAUCACAAACACAGUGUCAAUCAGCAAUCUAAAAAAUUUUCCCCCAAAAGUCUAGCUCCCUGGCUGAUCCUGAGUAUUCAAGCCCACAAUUACACACAGCUUAAAAGGCCUGGGACAGAAGGGACAGGCCUUUACCUGGCAGGUGAGGAGGCAGACCAAUACCAGAGUCAGAGAAGGUAAGAACUACCUCUUAGCAGAUUUUCAAAUAUGGAGAAAGGAAUUAUGCUUUUCUAUGUACAAAGGUCACAGUAAAUCCUCUAGAUGCAACUUCCUGGACUGCAUUCAAACCCGGAAGACAGAUAAAUAGGCAGCUUCACAGCAGUGUUAAGACCCAGAGUCAUAUGCUAGUCGUGGAUAAACAAGAUGGGCUUAAGGGACAUUUCACAUGAGAGAGGUUAGAGAGGUAGGCCUGAUGCUACUAAACUGGCAGCUAAGCUGCCCAGUCAUCUGUCAGGCCUCCAGAUUAACACUCUAGUACAGAGCCAUCACCAACAAGUCAGUUGCAAUGAGGAGCAGGAAGUUAAGGACAUGGGAGAGAAGCUUUUAGCUUUCAGUCCACUUUUUUAGAGUUUGAGGGGCUAAGAGAAGGGUCAAGAAUUUGGCAAAGGCUUCUGCAGGGUAAACUCCAACAGCAAUGUUGAAACUUCUUCCAAAGCUGAUUAAGCCUUAGAGCUGUGACCACAGUACGGCUGGCUUAACUAUGACCGGUUCAACAGCCAGAAACUAAGAUUUAUAUGAAUACUAAGACAAUUAUGUAAUUUUCUCAUUUCUCUCCUCUCUGAUACAUUCUACUUCUAGCAGGCUAGGUAGAGAAGACUCCAUAAAAGGCUUUAUUAACUGCUAUAAGAUUAAACUAACUUCCACCCCUCAGAGUCUACACUUGUGAUAUCAUGUACUGGGGCAGAUUAUAAAAAGGCAUGACUUUGAAAUAUCUCAAGUGUUGUCUCAUCCUAAAGAUGACUUAUAAGUAUGUGGUUGUCUGGUAUGCUAAUAUUUGAUGAGUAAUGCUAUAUACACCGCCACUGCUCAACAACAUUAGGUAAUGACAAAAGAAACAGGUUGACUGGAUGUCCUCGAGGUGUUUUUUUUUUUUUUUUCGGUUUGUUUUUAAUUAAAACCAAGUUUUUCCUUUGUACUCCACAGCGAAUAUACAUAAAAGGCAAAAGCCUACAUACACAUACAUUCAACCAAGUCACUGAAAUACAAGAUUCCAUGCUGAGUGGUGGCAGGUUAACAUCAAUGUGGACUGUGUAUACUGGGAAGAAACAAAAUGCAACCCUUACUCAUAAUCUCUAGCCAAACAGUUAUGAUUGCAUUACCUUGUAGUUGCAUAAUUUCCAAAGUGUUUUCAUAAGCAUGGCACAUAGGGGGCACUUAAACAUUUACUGAAUUGAACUCUGCAGCAUUAACAGAUUUGAUCUUCAGGAUACCUGGAUCAGCCUGGGCAGGAAGAGCAUGAAUGUCCCACUUUAAAGCACAAAGGAAACUAAAGCAUAGAGAGCAUAAAUUCUUUGCCCAGUGUUCUUUUUUUCAACUAAAUCGUAGAAUACGCAUUUAAAUUCAGAUUUCCUAAUUCCUAAGUCAGUACUUUACCCCUCACAUGCCCUUGCAUCACAAACCUACGAAAAGACAGAGAACACUGUAGAUAUCUUUAUGUCCUGAUGGCCAAAGAAUACCAGAUAUCAUCAGGAAGGGGAAGGGUCUGGGGACCAAAGUCAUCCCACCUCAGGGCAGAGCCACCCAUAAGUAAAAGACUAGACUGAGGUACCUCUCAGGAAUAUCCUAAGAGUUUGCUGAAAUCUAAAAGAAACUCAAAUUAUCAAGGGACUAAAAAAGCUCUCCUAAAAAGAUAAGGACUUUGCAGUCUGUGGUUGUGAGAGAACAGGAUAGGAGAAAGCAAAUCUUGCUGAGUAAAUGCUGGCAACCCAAAAUUAGGGAAUACCUCUUGGAGUCAGGGGUCUUGGAGUCAGGGGUCUUAAACAAAUUAAAGUUCUUAUAUAACAUAAUGCAGUAGGAUGCACUCAUUAAGUUCAUUAUCCUAGGAGAUGGUAGAAACUAAAAAUUUAAUGAAGAAGAUGCAAUGGUUAAAAACUCAGAAACUGUACAUGUAAGAUUUGUACACAUCACUGUUUGUAAACUUUCUCUUUAAGAAAAACCCCCAAAUUUGAAAAGAGCCAUAAAAAAUGAAAAAAUGUAUUUAAAAUGUGAUGGCAUUUCAAUAAAGAAAAAAAAUAGAUGUAACAAUCGGAGUGAAGUGAGAGACAGUUUAAGCACAUUCUCAUAAACUUCCAAGGUUGGUGUGGUCUCUCGUAGGUGACAGGAUUCUGCUAGCCUGGACACGCCUGUGAGAAGCUGGGAUUCUGAGGCUUUCCCUGAGGCUCCAAGAGGGCAGGUGCUUUUGUUUUUCAAACUCUGUAUCCACAGCAUCCACCAUGGUCAGGUCUGAAUAACUGAGAACUGGUUUUAAGUCCUAGUUCUGUCGUCAGUGACUAGCACUGGGACUUGACAACAGGCUUUUUACCUCUGAGCCUCCAUUUCUUUGGCUCCCAAAACGGACACCAACCUAUCUUGCCUGUUCAACAAGGUCAUGAGGAUCAAACAAAAGUAUUUAUCAAAGCAUUGUUAAACAUAAGAUAAUGCUAAUGCUACAAGCAUUUUAAUAGAACAAGAAUGUGAACCAAAAGCUUCAAUUAGUCAUGGGGCCAGAGAACAAAGUAACACAAGCAUAGCAAGAUUAGCCUCAAAUGUUUAAAAUGACCCAGGGCAGACUUAUAAGACUGAAGAUUCAGGAUUAAAAUUUCAGGUUUCUAGAAAAAAGUCCCAAGAGUAAACUUUACUUGAAGGAGGCUCACAACUUUUCACUGCACAGAAAUUUAAGACUUCACUUCGAAACCUGACACACUAAAAGUCAGUGUUGGACCAGCAAAGUUUUAUGACCACAUAAAGUUUACAAGAAACUACAUGCAGAGAAAUAACAUGAACUUGGUCAAAGCCAUUUCUGACGGAGAAUGACAGUGAGGGGGACAAAGACUAUAGAGGAGUCAGGAAGCCUGGGUUCCAGAACAGGCUCAGCAUCUCUUUUUGGUUUUUUUUGGGGGGAGGGGGUCACAUGUUAAAACCCAUCAUCUAGGCCAGGAGCUGUGGCUCACGCCUAUAAAUCCAAGCACUCCGGGUGGCCAAGGUGGGCGUAUCACCUGAGACCAGCCUGACCAACAUGGAGAAACUCCGUCUCUACUAAAAAUAAAAAAUUAGCCGGGCAUGGUGGCGCAUGCCUGUAAUCCCAGCUACACAGGAGGCUGAGGCAGGGGAAUUGCUUGAACCCAGGAGGCGGAGGUUGCAGUGGUCCGAGAUUGAGCCAUUGCACUCCAGCCUGGGCAACAAGAGCGAAACUCCGUCUCAAAAAAAACAAAAAACAAACCCCACUAUCUAUUUGUUCUUGAUAGGAACCUGGCCUCUCACCAAUGAACUCCUAUUCAACUUUCAAAGCUGAUUCAAAAGCCACUUUAAAUGUGAAGUCUUCCCACACAUGUAUACAAAACUCAUGGCUCCUUUCUAUCAGGCUUCCAUACUAUUCAUAAAACCUUAUUAUAGUUGAGCUGUUUUUAGGCCCAAUAGAUUGUGAUGCCUUCUAGUGUUCUUCCCUUCCCCGGAAGGCAGAAAAGAUGUUCUAUUAAGCUUAAAAGAAUGCUGCGCACUUGCUAGGUGCUCCUUAAAAUAUACACUGAUUGAUAUAUGAAUGCUUAGGUGUCCCAUUUCAUGUUAAAAGUACUUCCAUCAGUAGCUUGAUAAAGCCCCUGGCCAUUUGCACAUUUCAGAAAGGCGUACCUGGUCUGCACAGGUCUCCAUGUUGCUCUUUUUCACUGGCAUAGACCUCCAUGCACCAAGCAUGGUAUGCAAAUGAGAAGAGAUCUUCUAUUUUAGCAGGUGGUCGGAUUGCGUUGUUCAGUCUCUUCAGCCACUCUUGACACUGCUCAAAGGUUGAAAACUGACACCUUUUGUAAAGCCAAACAAGUAUGGAUGUAAUCAGAAGACAGUUGAAAUGAAAUGUAAGAAAAGCCAUUAUUUCAAGAAUGCCCACUCGUAGUGAAGUGGGAACUACAACCAAGAAAGCAUCUGAGGCAGUCAGUCAUUCGCAUGCUCAUUAUCACUUAUAAGAAAAACAAAUGUUAGCCAAUGGAACAAAAUGACCAAAAGAAGGAAGCUGACCAUUGGAAAACCUAUUUUUUUAGACUAAUGAAAUCUCUUCUAAGAUUAAUGACAAUUAUUACAGAAAAGUGGCAGCUAUUCUCUUUCAUGAGUGGAGUUUCAUUCUACUUCUUCCAUCAAAGUUUUAUGGUUGUCCCUCAUAAAAAAUAUGUUUAGAAAAAUCUUUGUUUUGUAGUAACAUAUUAGAUCAAGUUUAAAAAAAAAAAACACAGCAUUAUUUUUAGCCAGUUAGGUAGUAAUUUCAAUAUUUAGCUAUUAGGACAAAUCAGAUCCAAAAGACAGAUUGCACUGAAACUUUCAGCUAUGACCAUGUAGAGAACAAAACAAUUCUAUUGUCAACUGCGAUUUUCAGUAUAUACAACUAAGAAGUUAAAAUAAUUAGUGAAAACUAAUUUAUUAAAGAUAUGUUUAGGCUGAGUGCAGUGGCUCAUGCCUGUAAUCCCAGCACUUUGGGAGGCCAAGACGGGCAGAUCACUGGAGGUCAGGAGUUCAAGACCAGCCUGGCCAACAUGGCAAAACUCCCGUCUCUGAUAAACAUACAAAAAUAUUAGCCAGGUGUGGUGGCGUGCACCUGUAAUCCCAGCUUCUCAGAAGGCUGAGGCACGAGAAUCACUUGAAACAGGGAGGUACGGGUUGCAGUGAGCCAAGAUCACACCACUGCACUCCAGCCUGGGCAACAGAGUGAGGCUCUGUCUCAAGAAAAUAAAUAAAUAAAAAUAAAGAUUUGUUUAAAUUUGGCCUUUUUGAAUGCAAUGUUAAAAACUGACUAAUUAAUAAGCAACUACCUUCUUAAACUGUGAGUUGUAGCCAGUAUCUAUCAAAAAUAAGCCAAAUCUCACUGACUAAAAAGCAAUAUAAAUAUCUAUCUUAAAACCAAGGGGUCACUUAAACCUCUCCCUCAUCCCAAUCAUGGUGGCUCAUCAAUAUGCCAACACAUAAUAUUUACUGACACCCCAGAAGAGGUCAGAGGAAUGCAGUAAAAACUUGUGGAAUUUAAGACCUCUAGAGCUAUUAAAUUUAAAAAUGCAUUUCAGGCAUCGUUGUUGGUUUUUGGUUUUUCAGAUGGAGUCUUGUUCUGUCACCCAGGCUGGAGUACAGUGGCGUGAUCUCAGCUCACUGCAACCUCUUGCCUCCCAGGCUCAAGCAAUUCUUCCGCCUCAGACUCCCAAGUAGCUGGGACUACAGGCGUGCACCACCACACCCAGCUAAUUUUCGUAUUUUUAGUAGAGAUGGGGAUUUGCCAUGUUGGCCAGGCUGGUCUCAAACUCCUGACCUCAAGUGAUCCACCCCCACCUCGGCCUGCCAAAGUGCUAGGAUUACAGGCGUGAGCCACCACACCCAGCCUGCAACCAUUAUAGUUAAGCGCAGAUACAAAUCAUCAAUGAAUGCUAAACUUAUGGAGAAAUUUUUAUGAGAAGCAGGGACAUUUGCAUUGUUUCAAAGUGCCUCCCCCAGACUGUUUUUAGUUGCAAGAGAGAAAACGCAGAAAUUAUACAGAAGCCAGGUGACAUCUCGACUGGAAUAAUCAAAAUUAACAUCACCAAUGAAGGACAUGUGGACACUGUACUUCCAGAUGUAAUACAAUACCCUGAAAAGGACGUGACAUCAUAUAUACAGUAUUCCAGUUGAGAAAAUAGAACCUCAAUUUAAUUGAGGAAAUACUGGACAAACACAACAUGAGAAGUAUUCCAUUAAAACAAAAGACUGUAUUCUGCAAAAUGUGAAUGUCAUAAAAGAAAAUAAGGCUGUAGAAAAUGUUCCAGAUUGGCCGGGUAUGGUGGCUCAUGCCUGUAAUCCCAGCACUUUGGGAAGCUGAGACGGGCAGAUCACGAGGUCAGAGUUCAAGACCAGCCUGACCAACAUGGUGAAACCCCAUCUCUACUAAAAAUACAAAAAAUUAGCCAGGUGUGGUGGCACACACCUGUAACCCCAGUUACUCAGGAGGCUGAGGCAGGAGAAUCGCUUGAACCCAGGAGGCAGAAGUUGCAGUGCGCUGAGAUCGUGCUACUGCACUCCAGCCUGGGCGACAGAGCAAGACUCUGUCUCAAAAAUCAAACAAACAAAAACAAAAAGAAAAUGUUCCAGAUUAAAGAAGGCUACAGAGUCAUGGCAGCUAAAUGCAAUAUAUGACCUAGACUGGAUCCUGUACUGAAUGAGAUGGAGGUGAGGGAGAAUGCUAUAAAAAAGUAUCAAUAGGUCAUUAGGCGAACUGACAAAAUUGGAACAUGUAUAGUAGACUGGAUAUAAGUAUUAUCAAUGUAAAAUUGAAAAUUGAUGAUGUUAUGGUUAUGUAAGAAAAUAUCCCUAUUCUUAGGAAAGCACACUAAAGUAUUUUGGGGUUAGGAGCCAUGAUUACGUAACUUACUCUCAAUCUGUUCAGGAAAAGAAACACACACACACAUACACACACGCCUCUGCAAAUAAUAAAGCAAAUGGUAAAAUGUUAACAAGUGAAUCUGGGUGAAUGGUGUACUGAUGUUCUUUUUAGUAUUUUUAUUUUUGCGCUUUUGUAAAUUUAAAAUUAUUUCCAAAUUAAAAAAAAAACAUCUUUCAACAUAGCAAAGUAUACAUCCUACAGAUAAAAUAUUUCAGGCACAAACUACUCAGAAAAUAUUCCUAAUGAGGCUAAUCAUCAAAAGGUAUUUUACUAAGUUACCAAAUAAUGGACCCAUUCUUUAAAAAAUAUUUUCCACACUAAACAGCAACACAAACAUACCAUACCACAUACCUGAUAACUUUGCAGUCUUUGCAAGUCAAAUGAAGCUGAAAUAUAUCUCGGCAUUCAACACUUUCUAUAAGCUGUAAUGGAACCUGCAAUUUUAAAAAAAUGAAGUCCUCUUAGUCAAAAAGGCAUUGACCCUGGAGUUCUUCAAUGUGUCCAACAAGACUAAUUAAAAAGAUUUAUAAGGGAAAGCAACAAAAAUAGAACUGCAAACUUAUCUGGAUCAACAGUACUCAAGUGAUUUACUACAAAGUGAAUUAGGACUUCCCUUUAUCUCUAAAUCAGUGGUCUCAAGUCAUGUCAUAGCAUGAAGGCAACAAAGAGGUGGCACCACCUUUGGAAGAAGGGGAGAAUAUAUCUCUCAGGCACCGAAUUCACAAGAUCAGAGUACUACUUUUAGAUGCUAUAACUGACUAUGAUUUGCAAUGAUGCAAUGACACAGAAGCUGAAGGGAGCCAGAACAGUAAUCUUUUCUUGCUUAUAGAAAAGAACUACAGAUCAGAAUGCCAGUGGGAGACUAUUGUUUGCCCCAAAUGACAGAGUGGGCUUAUGGCUUAGUGUCAGCCAAUGAGGCUCCUGAAAAAGACUAGAGUUCUAAGCUGACUGUGGAUUGCACAGAAAAGACAAUGGGGCAAUAGCUGCUGGCCAGGCUCUCUACUAAGUAGAAUAGACCCAAAAGUAUGAAAAAGGAGGGAGAAGGCCAUACAGUGAUCAAGGAUGCUAAAACUAUAAUAACUAUGUCAGAUUUGCUUCAAAAAAUCAGUCAGAAGCCCUGUUUGCCAAAUGGGGCUUGAGGUUUGAACAAGCUGGAAUGGUUCCCCCUUGCCAAUCUGGUCUACAGACUCUACUGGACACAGGAUUAUGUACAACAGCAGAUAGAGAGAAGGGAAACAGAUAGAAGCAAAAGCAUCUAGACAGGGUGCCAAAUCUUCAGGACAAUAUGAGGAUCCUCCUCCUAUCCCUUAAAUCAUCCUAAUUCAACCCUUGGCUUCAAAAAGCAAUUUCUAGGCUUUCAAGGCAAACCUGGUAAAAUAAUAGUGAAUACUUUUACUCCUUGAAAAAGGAGUGGGCCAUUUGCCUCUUACAGUGUAUCAAGUCUAGCCAAAAUGUGGCUCUGGGAGUUGCAAAUAGCAUUCCAACAACUUGUGUUUAGUAUGCAAAGAGGAGGACAGUCUCCUCCAAUGCAGACAGGAACAAGAGUACUGUCUGCACAGGCUGGCCCUCGUGUUAGCUGAGCCAGUUUCAGGAACAAGAGUACUGUCUGCACAGGCUGGCCCUCGUGUUAGCUGAGCCAGUUUCAGGAACAAGCUUCCUGCAAACUCUGCCCCACCACAGAGCUGCCAGUCAGCAGAGAAUUCUCAGAAUGAGGAUGCAGGGAUCAAAAAGAAGCCCAGUGCUGGACAAAGAAACAGAAACUGGAGCAGGGGUUAAAGAAGAGAAGAAAGCAAAAUAAUAUUACUCAGAUAAAUGACUGGGAGUUUCUACCUUAGGACUAAAGUCUUCUUGCUUUUAAGUCUACAUUCUAUAAAAAUUCCCUUACAAAUGUAAUAGGACUGGGGGUCAGAAAAAGACUAAGAAAUCUUGGCCAGACACGGUGGCUCAUGCCUGUAAUGCCAACAUUUUGGGAGGCCGAGGUGGGCGGAUCACCUGAGGUCAGGAGUUUGAGACCAGCCUGACCAACAUGGAGAAACCCCAUCUCUACUAAAAAUACAAAAUUAUCCGGGUGCGGAUAAUUUUGGUGCAUGCCUGUAUUUUGGUGCAUGCCUGUAUUUGGUGCAUGCCUAUAUUUGGUGCAUGCCUGUAAUUUUGGUGCAUGCCUGUAAUCCCAGCUACUCCAGAGGCUGAGGCAGGAGAAUCGCUUGAAUCCCGGAGGCAGAGACUGCGGUAAGCUGAGAUCGUGUCAUUGCACACCAGCCUGGGCAACAAGAGCGAAACUCCAUCUCAAAAACGAAAAAAAAGAAAAAGAAAAAAGAAAAAUCUUGCCUGUGUUCUGAGAACAAAAGGAGCUUUUGGCCUUCUGUUUUUGUUUACGUCCUUAACCCCAAGGUGCUGUGAGAAACUGCAACUGAUGCAACUAAGAAUUCUUCUGAGACCUGUGCAUCUAAGAAGGAAAAAAAAAAAAAAAAAACCUACAAUUUAUCAGAGAUAAAACUAUAAAGAAGAAAUAUUGAGAUUAAGAAGACAGAUUAGAAGACAACUUUGCUUUGUUCUCAGGCCAGUUCUCUGGGUAGCCUGUAACAGACACUUACUGCUUUUUAUUUUGUAUAUACUCCUGCUAACUACCUUAACUCACUAUAUCCCCCCAAAAUGUGGCUGCCAGACUGGCAAUUAAGAGCCGUGAGUUCUAAUCUCAAUUUUCUAAAAUGUUACCAAUUAAAAUUUUGCUGGCUUCAUUGGGCAAGCCUCCAGCCUUCCCAUGUGCCAUCAGCCUCUGCUUUCUGAACCUUGGUCACAACUAAGGAAAUCUCAGUCAUGGGGCCUGGAAAGAGUCUGGGAUAGGAUUAGAGUGAGCUUUACAAAUCCACAAGAAGAGGCUGCUCUUGCAGCAGUCACCUGCAUCCCAAGUCCCCUGCAACUGACUUUCUUUAUGGACAGAAGACAUGAAAACCAGCUAAUGCUCUUAGCAGCUGCUGGGGGAAAUGGAUUAGCCUUUGCUACUUUGCUACAAAGAACAGGUAAGUUUUACAUCCUUAUUACUAAACCAGAGCCCAAUGGCCUGUGCCCAAAUUUAAUAUCAUAAAAUUAUCUCAGACCAUGCAAAACAUUUGCUACCUAAAAUUCAGGCAAUAUAUACAUAUUUUUUUUCUAUAUUUUAACAUCGUAAAUUUAAGAAAAAAGAAUUAGAAUGUUGGUUCUAUGCAUUGAAAUCAGAUUGCAGACACUAGCAAGUCACCAAAAUCAACCAUGUGUAUUACAAGUCACAGAUAUGGAGAACAGCAGAUUUUAAUAUUCAUGCAGAUUGUCACAUGCAGGAAAGCUUAAUACGCAGCAAGAAUAGGGACAUACAAAAGAGAAACACCUGAUUUUUAUAACAAAUAUCUCCCUUUUCUUCUCCUUUCUACUGCAGUGUUUCCCUUCAGCACUUCCUGCACAGACUGCCUUUUCUUUCUUUCUUUCUUUCUUUUUUUUUUUUUUUUGAGAUGGAGUCUCGUUCUGUUGCCCAGGCUGGAGUGCAAUGGCGCGAUCUUGGUUCACUGCAACCUCCACCUCCCAGGUUCAAGCUAUUCUCCCUGCCUCAGCUUCCUGAGUAGCAGGCACCUGUGAUCCCAGCCACCACGCCCAGCUAAUUUUUGUAUUUUUAGUAGAGAUGGGGUUUUGCCAUUUGUCCAGGUUGGUGUCGAACCCCUGACCUCAGGUGAUCCACCCGCCUAGGCCUCCCAAAGUGCUGGAAUUACAGGUGUGAGCCACCGCACCCAGUCCAGAUUGCCUUUUCUAAAAGGCAGAAUUGACCUUCUUUUCCUGUUCAUACCUCCAUCCAAAACAUACUGUUUCUCUAUUUUCUUAAGGCCCACUACACUGCUUUAGGUUCAAAUUUCCUCACAUAUGAAAACAAUCUCUUAACAUUUCUAUAACUAGAGAUACCCUAUAUUCAACCUCAAAAGCAAAUUACAGAUUCAAGAGCCAGUCCAUUUACAGCCCAGGAAGGUUAAAACUACUACACUAUAAGCUAGUAUAGUAGUAAAGUCAGGACCAGGAUCCAUGUCUGUCCUCCAGCCUGGGCUCCUUCCACCAUACACGGUGUGUCUUUCUUUCUGCCCCUACACGUGGGCUUCUCUUCCAUAUGAGCUCUACUUUAGUUUUUCUUUCACAAAUAAGUAGCUUCUCCACCAGGGAUCUUCAAGAGGAAAAUAGAGUUUAAAUCAAAACUCCUCAGAUGCAAUUCCUUUUGUAAAAGAGUAGAAAGAUAAACUCACUUUCAAAUCCUCUCAAACGUACUGAUUCAAUGUCUUGUAGCAACUCAUUUUCUUUUUGCUCCUCUCUCCUCUAUCUCUCCACCUGCCAGGUAACGCAAUCUCACCUUACAAUGCUUUUCCUAAUAUAAAUUUCACCAAACUCAUGCUCAAACAAUGCAUCAAACACAUUCAGUGCUACAACCAAUUCCUCAAAAAGCCAAGUUACAUUAUAGACACUAACACCCUUAAGAGCAUCAAUCCAAAAAAAGCAGAAGAGCAGCAGUUUAAAAAUUUAACAGACAUACAGACAUGCACAGGUUAUGUCCACAGUACUGUCACAUUCCAGAGGGAACUGAUGCCAUCAUACCCUACUAUAUUUACCUCAAUUCAUUCUGGGUGUGUGUGCAUACAUGUGCAUUAUUUUUAAACACCAGAAUCUAGAGUGGGAUAAUUCCUACCUUUUUAAAAACAAACACCCUUUUUAUAGCCUGAAUGGGAAGUACUAAUCUUGUACACGUGAAGUUAAAAUGGCAGUAAAAGAGUAAAAAUAAUGAGUCUAAAUCUAAAAUCAGUAAUAAAGUGGAAUAUCUGGGCACAAAAAUCUUUUCAUUUAAAAACUAAUCAGGGCCGGGCACAACGACUCACAUCUAUAAACCCAGCACUUUGGUAGGCUGAGGCAGGAGGAUCGCUUGAGCCCAGGAGUUCAAGACCAGCCUGGGCAACAUGGUGAAACCCUGUCACUACAAUAACAUAACAUAAAAAUAAAAUAAAUAUAAUAAAAUAAAAAUAAAAUAAAAUAAAAAAUUGAGUGCAGUGGCUCACAUCUGUAAUCCCAGCACUUUGGGAGGCCAAGGUGGGUGCAUUGCUUGAGCCCAGGAGUUUUGAGACCAACCUGGGCAACACAGACAUCAUCUCUAUAAAAAAUAAAAUAAAAUUAACUGAACGCGGUGGCAUGUGUCUGUAGACCUAGCUACUCAGAAGGCUGAGGUGGGAGGAUCACCUAAGCGCAGGAAGUUGAGGCUGCAGUGGGCCAUGAUGGCGCCAGUGCACUCCAGCCUGGGCGACAGAGCAAGACCCUGUUUCAAAAAACAACCACCAAAAACCCACUAAUCAGCAGAAGACUGUCACUGGUUUAAGAUUCAAACUCUAUUGUUCACCUUUGACAAUUUACAAGCCUCCAGCACUGCUUUCAGAGGCUCCCACUGUUAUAUGAAUGCUAGAUCAAAGUGCAUUAAAUGUUAACAAUAACCUCCUUCGCAGCAGGGUGUGGUGGCUAACGCCUGUAGUUCCAACACUUUGGGAGGCUGAGGUGGGAGAAUAACUUGAGCCCAGGAGACUAAGGCUGCAGUGAGCCGAGACUGUGCUAACGCACUCCAGCCUGGACGACAGAGUGAAACUCCGUCUCCAAAAAACAAAGUGAAAGAAAAAAAAACUAGUGUUGAUUUUACAAAUUAUUUCUAACAGAAACUUGUUCUACAUUUUUUUGAAGGUCACAAUUCCAUCUGCUUAUGUAUAAACUGCAGGGCUUUUUCCUUACCCUACAAAUUGUUCUCCUAGUAGCAUACAACUGGAAUUUGGUCCAGUAAGAGGAAAAGGACUCAUGCAGAGGGGAAACAUUCUGCUGAUUUGCAAGGUGAGCAUCUAACACUCAAAACCAAUUUGCUCCAAGCACAGGUGCAGCAACCGCCUAGGAUUUUCAUGCUACUUACAGGGAUUUUAGAAGCAGCAGAUUGAGAAGCAGUCUAUUAAAUUACAAACACAUACACACACACACACACACACACUUUUAAACGUUCAUGAAUUCCACUUGAACACUUGUUUAUAAGUUAUCUAAGCUUCAAAGAACUAUGUCUGUAAAUAUAUAAUAAUUUGGGAAAAGCACAGAAUAGGAGCAAUGUAUACCUUAAAUGCUACACAUAAACUCUACUACAGAGAUUCUUUACCACAGGAACUGGAACUUGAUAUUCAGUGAAUGUGUGAAUUAAAGUAAUGAUGUUUACGGUAUCAAAACCUACAGACACAUUUUACUCAAUGUGCUGUGAAAUUAAAAGAGAAUAUAUGAUAUCAGGUAGCUAUUUAAAACUUGAUGGUAAAUCAUUUUCUGAAGUGUUAAUUAAGUAUUUUGAUUUAAGCAUACAAAAUGAUGAACUGGGGCAUGCCACAACAUAUGCUGGUAUGUCUGGGCUUUGAUGGUUUAAAUGUGUUUGAUAUAGAUAAAAUAACAUUUAAAGAGAGCCUCCUGAUCUAACAUUUUAUUGAAAUACACAUAUUUUAUUGAAAUACUUAUUUGCUAAGGGAAGGAAAGAGGGAGGGGCAACACCACUACCAACUGUCUGAUCUCCAUCCAGGACCCGAUGCAGGAAGAAUCCUUGUUUCCUAAGUACCUUCAGGUUUCAGGUUUCAGGAAUCUCUUAGCACUAGCUGUGAUGAAAUUAAUUUAUUUUUAUGGAGGAGUUCUAGUCUCUCUCAAUCUGAAUUUUUUUUUUUUUUUUUUUUUUUUUUUUAAUGAGACAGAGUCUCGCUCUGUCACCCAGGCUGGAGUGCAAUGGCGCGAUCUCGGCUCACUGCAAGCUCCGCCUCCCGGGUUCACGCCAUUCUCCUGACUCAGCCUCCUGAGUAGCUGGGACUACAGGUGCCUGCCACCACGUCCGGCUAAUUUUUUGUAUUUUUGGUAGAGACGGGGUUUCACCGUGUUAGCCAGGAUGGUCUUGAUCUCCUGACCUCGUGAUCCUCCUGCCUCGGCCUCCCAAAGUGCUGGGAUUACAGGCGUGAGCCACCGUGCCCGGCCUCAAUCUGAAAUUUUUAAAGUCACUGCAAUGCCAAAAUACUUCUACACCAUCAUUUUUCUGUACAAAGCCAUUACCUUGGGUGUUGUUUUUUUUUUUCCUUUUUUUUUUUGACAAAGUCUCCCUCUGUCAUCCAGGCUGGAGUGCAGUGGCGUGAUCUCAGCUCAUUGCAACCUCCGCCUCCUGGGUUCAAGUGAUUCUCCUACCUCAGCUUCCUGAGUAGCACAUGCCACCAUGCCCAGCUAAUUUCUGUAUUUUUAAUAGAGAUGGGGUUUCACCAUUUUGGCCAAGCUGGUUUCAAACUCACAACCUCAGGUGAUCUGCCUGCCUCAGCCUCCCAAAGUGCUGCGAUUACAGGCGUGCAUCACUGCACCCAGCCUACCCUGGACUUUUUAAGUAACAUGUAGGCUCUAUGCCUUAGAGGGUUAUGAUGCUAACAGAAAAAAAACACUUUCAGAUUAAGAAAAUGGAUCAAAAGAAAGAACAGUGGCAAGUUUCCUUAAGCAUUAUCUCUCAAUCACAAUGGGGGAUCAACAAUUCCAGUCAACAACCUACUCACACAGCUAUCCUUAGAGACAAUUAAGCCACAGCCUAUUCACACAGAAGUGUACUGUUUUAAAAUAAGCUUUAAACGCCAAAGGGGGAAAAGGUUCUAAUGCCCACUUCAAACCCACAUUAACUUCAAUUCAUUUAAUAUUUACUGAAUAUUGUGGCACCAGGAGACAUGCUGGAUCUUGAAGACACAAAAACAAUUAACCAAAAAUUACAACCUAUUUGGUAAAUGUUAUAAAAGAAUGUACGAGAUAAAGACAAAGCAAAGAAAGAGUGUAGUUAACUGUCACAGAGGGAACUGGGACUAAGAAAGGCUUCACAGGAGAAGUUAUCACCUGAACUGAAUUUUGACAGAUGAACAGAAGUUCCUGGGCCGAAAAGAGAACACAGAGGUGUGAGGUAUGGCUGAAUAGUACAAAGAGGCUGCUUUUACAAGUAAAAAUGUGAUAAUGGGGAAAGGAGGGAAGCUGUGAUCCUUGGUCCCUGCCACGUUGUCAGACAGCUUCAUGUCAUGCUAAACAAUCUGAUCUUCAUCAUAGAAGUAGUGAAGAAACACUGAAGGGCUUUAAGCUGAUGAAUGACAUGAUCAGUUUCUUUCUUUCUUUCUUUCCUGCUUUCUUUCCAGCAGACCUUAUUCCCAAAUAGUUCUAAAAUAGUCUCUGAAACACUUGGCCAUCAACCAAUAAACUGAUAAAUACAGGAUGAUAUGAGAAAAUGCAAUGAUAUGAAACUAUCAUUCUCACAUGCAAUUUAAUUAUAAUUUAAUUCCAGCAAUUCAAACACUGAAAGAACACAAAGUUAAAUUGGGCAGUUCUACUAAACACUACUAUCAUUACUUCCACAGUAGCUGGUGGGGAAUUCUCAGUUGCUGGGAUUUUAUAGGUGUUUCCCCCCUUUCCCCUCCCCAUCACGACUACUCAAAUCCAAGUGGACCCUUCUGAACAGAGUGCUACAUAGUAUGAAAGAACAGCAUUGCCUCUUUCCUUAAUGAAUCUGGUGUGUAUCUUUAGCUGAUAGACAGAAAACUGAUGUAACUGCUAUAAUCAUGGCCCAAAUCUAGAAGCCAGAAGGGAUUCAGGCCAAAACUGCUCCUGGACAUAAAUGCUUAACUACAAAGAAGAAUGAUAAUAACAAGUAAAAAAUGUCAACUACCAAAAAAAAAUGACAGCCACUGAGUCUUUUUUUAAUUGCUGAGUAAAACGAAUGAACAACAGAUUUCAAAGAAUCCCAAAAUGAAGCCAAAACACAGUCUGCAUGGAAUUACAGUCCUGAGCUGUUUUAAUGUGUCAUAAUACACUUCUCUGUGCUGGAAGUGGAGUGUAGAAAGCCACAACACUGGCAAGUAAAGAAGGAAGAAGGCAUUUGCUGUAAGUACAUGAAUUUUCAAGCCUUUAUUCGUUUCAUUUAAGGCUAAUGAUAGCAGAGCACUGGAAGAACCAGUUCACUGAGAGGACAUUCAUAACUGAAAAGGGUAAAUGUACUCUUGAGAAUCAAGAGCCUUCCUUUUCUUCAGUAAUACAUAGUCCAUUAUGCAAAUAAACAUUAUACUUAACAUCUACACUUAUACCACCAAGGAGUCAUUAGAGUAACCUCAUGCUGUAAUGAGAGUCUGCAGUGAGCUCAAAGUGCAUCUCAUCAUUUGACAUUAAGGCCCAGGGAAUUAUCUCAACUGAGGCAGUUGGUAACUACUAAAGAUUGCAGAAUAAAAGCCUAUUCAGCCUUUAUACCUUUAUAAAGCUUAAUGAUACAGCAUUACCUAAUGCAAAUCAUUCGCUGUUAACUAAACAAUGGACACCUCAGCUGACAACUACACACAUCAUUUUAAAUCAAGCAUAAGAGCUGCUUGCUGAUCUAGUGUGUUUUGUUGUUGUUGUUUGUUUGUUUUUGAGAUGGAGUCUUGCUCUGGUCACCCAGGCUGGAGUGCAGUGGUGCGAUCUUGGCUCACUGCCAGCUCCACCUCCUGGGUUCAUGCCAUUCUCCUGACUCAGCCUCCUGAGUAGCUGGGACUACAGGCACCUGCCACCACGCCCGGCUAAUUUUUUGUAUUUUUAGUAGAAAUGGGGUUUCACCGUGUUAGCCAGGAUGGUCUCGAUCUCCUCACCUUGUGAUCUGCCUGCCUUGGCCUCCCAAAGUGCUGGGAUUACAGGCGUGAGCCACCGCGCCUGGCCAAGCUAGAGUUCCUUGAGUGCUAAAUUAAGUGAGAAAAGCAGAGCACAUAAUGCUUUCUCUCCCAAUUCUGUAUGCCUCUCCUCUCUUUGAGAGCAUUAAGUUUUUUGACUUACUUUCUCCAUUUACCUUAGAGGGAGAACAGCUGGUAAUCACUUACAUUAACAAGAGACUCCUUGAACUUGAUGUGAAGUCUGUAAUUGGAAAGGGCAAUGAUGGCAUCCUCGGCACGGCCCACAAACUCUGUGCUCUCUCCAUGAAGU
rnacentral:antisense_RNA from 1 species